UUUUUUUUUUUUUUUUUUUUUUUCCAGGAGUGCGAAUCCUUGUAUUUGGCUAGGUCAUUUUCUGGAAGGUGUUUUACAUCUAAAGAUUAUAAUUUGAUAUGUAUGGUAUAAAGCUUGUACGGAUAUUCUUUGUAAGAUUUUCGUUUGUUACGAUAAAAUUGGAUUAAAACGAUGAUAAUUAUGAUAAACACCAAAUAUGUAAGGUUUUCGAGGAUUAUCUUUGACAUUAAGUGUCAUAUUAAGUAUAAUGCACAAUCAGAUACAAACUGCAGCAUAGGUCUCGACAAGAGUACGAAAGACUGGAUCCUCCAGAAGAGCCUUAUCUGGUGGUAGCUGGAUAAGGCCAUUUUUCUCUCCACUAAGAAAUUCCCUUGUGGAAAACAAAAGAAAUUAAGGUCUAACUUGGGAUUGCUAUCAUUUAAAAAAAAAUUUGUUUCUCCUGUGAUUUGAAAAUAAUCAACUGUAAAGUAGUUCUAUGUUUAGUAAACAAUAUUUUUUUAAGUGUUGUUAGUAUAAAAAGCAAUGUCAAAACCAUUUAGUAAAUUUUAAUAUAAAACUAGUGUAACUGUGGAUAAUGGCUAAAAUUGACAUGAUGUUGAAAGUGUUAUGUACUAACCAUGUGGUGGUGGGAGAGGGGGGUAUUGGUGGUGGUGAUGGUAGUGGUGGAGGUGGUGGAGGUGAAAAUAAAGGUGAAGGUUGGUGGUGGUGAUGAAGGUAGAGGUGAGGUGGUGGUGGAGGUCGUGGAGGUGAUGGUGAUGGUGAUGGUAGACGUCAUUUUAGAAAUUAAUGAUGACAUUAUGGGAAUUGAAAAAAAAUAAAUUAAAGGUUCUUAUCUGCUUCUUGUGAAAGCAGUAUUGAAAAGUAACCUAGAUGCUACUUGUAAAAGCUGCUGUCAGAAGGUCAUUACUUUUAAAAUAAUCAUAAUAUUUUAUUUGACCAAACACCUUAAAGUGCUUAACUUUAAAUUGAAGCAUAUUUUUGGCCAAAAAGGCAAUCCCAAAAAUGUAGGAUGAUACCCUAAACCUCAAGAAAUCAUUCAUCCUUCAAGAUGGAGUUUACAGAAACUCAAGUAAUGCAUGCCAAGUGUUAUGUGGUAAGGUUUCUACCUUCUCUUUUCCCAUAUGAAAUUUGUCAGGUUUGACAUUAUUUUUUCCACACUUUUGGUUUAGAUGAAUUUUAAUAGUAUCCAUGUUACACAUAUUGGUGAAAACAAUGAAGUUUUUUUCAUUUUUGGGAUUCUUUCUAUACGUGUGUGUUGGUAAUUUUUAACAACAAUAUUAAAACUUUGCAAGUGCACAAAUCAAAUAAUAAUAUAGUAAGCAAGCAAGGGUCAUUCUCAUAGAGAUUGUAAUCUAAAGAGAUGUUUAUCAAUGUCAUGCAACGAAAAUUAAAACACAAGGACUUCCACACACACACCAACACCAAGGGGGGUUUUGAUUUGAUUUUGUGAAUAAAACAAAACAGAAUUUAAAUUAGAGUUUAAGAGAAACUGGUUUAAAAUCAAUCAAGAACAAUAGCUAGGACUUACUAUCCACUUCCAAACAAUCAAUCAAUCUAUAAACAACAAUAGAUAAUCAAUUUCUAGCAAGCAUAUGAUGACGAUACUCACAACAAGAUCAUGGCAUUUGACUCGAGUUGUAUGAUUCCCUCUUAAGUGUAUGUAAAGUGUAUGGCAUUUACAUAAAUACGUGUAUUCUUAAUUAAAAUCUAGUAUGACAUUUACUCAAAUUAACAAUCAAGAAUCCAUUAAGAUCAAAGAGAAUAUGAGUGUCACAAAAACCCUAAAACAUGGCAUUUGUUAUUAGGAAUUCAAGAAUCGAUUUCUCAUAACUAGUUCUUGACCCAAUUAUUCGUUGCAAACAAGAACACAUUGAAUAUGGCAAUUGACCUAUGUUCUACAAUAAUUUAAUUUCAAUACAUGCUUCCAAGUUAGCUACUCAAAGAAACAAAAUAUCAGAAUUCACAUAACAUAGAGAAACCGAAAUCAUCACGCUUGUAGAAACUGAAAAUCCAUUCAAACUAGUUUAUAAAAUUGAAAUCAUGUUUAGGGCUUCAAGAUUAAGCCCUAAAUAACAAGAAAUUAGUUACUCAUGUUCUUGGAUGAACUCAAAAAAUAAAUACAUAAGAACUGAAAAUUAAAAGAAGGAAGGAAAAUAAAGAACUCAUUGGCAGCUUUUUCCUCUUGCGUGGUUGAUCUCCUUAGGACGUGAAUCCUUUGUAUGGGGGGCCUUGGCCGGCCUUUUAUAUUACUUAUAUCAGAGGUCUAAAUCCUAAUAUUGCUGAAAAGUCGUCCAAGAAGUCUUGGUAAACAAGGAAUCCAAAUAGGAAAGUAAAAAUCAAAAUUCCUAACUCCACAGGGAAAUACAGCUCAGCCCAAUUGUCACAUGAUUUGGAGAUCUUUGGCCUUCUAGAAAAAUCAGUAAAAAUAUAUUGUAGAAAGGUAAAUGUCUUAUCUUUCCAACCAUAUAUAGCACGUAACUUCAAAAAUUCUAAAAGGCUUCCAUUUCUUCACAUUCACGUAACAUGUACGAAACUGUCCUGUAUGCACGUGGGCUAAAUUUACUGGUAAUACUGUACCAAUUGGCUUGGUAGACAAUUCUAGAAAAAUCAUAGAUUGAACUUUAAGAUGUUAACUUUCAUCUCCAAUUGGCCUUGUGCUAAAAUUCCUCUGAAAAGUUGAUUUUCCCUUAAAAACCUUCUAAGAGCGCAGAAAAGCUGAAAAUCAGAAAAGUAAAGUAAUAAGCCAUUUUUAAAUCUAAUUCUCCUACAAAACCUAAGUAAAAAGAGGACAUAAAUGAGUAUAUUUAUGGACUUAUCAGUGUGAGUAUUUAUAACAGACGAUUCCUAAAUUUGUGAAAUCAAAUGAUAUUUGGUUCUCUGAAAAGUCAUGGCAUGUUGAGCUUACAACUUAGAAUGGUGCACCUAGAGAUAAGAAUUAAGUUUAUUUUGAAAUUUUGUUCUUCUGUUAAACUACCAAGGUUAAGUCUUUACCCAUUAAUUUUAACAGGCAAUUUCUUUUCUUAGACUAAAUUUUUCAUCUGAAAAUAGAGAACAGUUGUUGCGAAAGCGUUUGAAUUGUUUCUGGAGGUUAUUGAUGGAUGAUCCGGGUCGGGUUGAUGGAUGUUAUGUAUCUAGAUUACUUAUUUCAAAGUUUCUUGUUGAGCUACAUCAGUAAUUGUAGUUUCCGAGUCCAACAGCAAAAUCAUCAUGUGUUUGCUAGUUCCAUUUGAUGAAGUUUGUGUUCGAAAACAAUUAUAAUAUAACCAAAUAACAGAACAAUAACAAACGAAAUAUGCUUUAUAUACAGGGACGGUCCUUAGAAGGGAUUAACUCGAGCUAUAGCCCAAGUGAGUUGUUAUUUUAUCAACUUUAAAUUUAAUUUUGCCUACUCAUGCCUACUAAUGACAAGCAUGCCACGUUUACAUCCAAAAAGACUCACAAAUUCAUCACUCAUCCAACAAUACAGGAAAAGAAGAUGAGACAAACUAACGAAUUGAAUUCUCUUUGACUAUCCCAGGACAUUAUUGUGUAGGACAUUUCUGUAAAGUUCUCUCUAAAAUGAGAAGUCUAUCCGUCUUGCUAUUACUUUUUUAGCCUACUGCCAACUUCUUUAUAUAUAUUAUGAACAGUCUAUUGCUAAUUUUCCUUUCACUGAUUUCACAUAUUAUCCCUUUAAGUGAAAAAAUUAAAUAAAUAAAUAAACGAAUUGGUACGUUGCAGUAGCUGCACCUUUAUAUUCCACCCUUUAGUGCGUAUAUAACGUAAAUUUAGCCCACCCCAUUUUAAAAUCCUAGAUCCAUCCCUAUUUAUAUAUAUAAUCAAAUCAAUACAACAAUAGAAUAAAUUACAGAAUACUGAUUUGGAUAGAUGAUAGAGUCCUGCAGACUUGCAGUGUCCUUUAGAAAAUAUUUCUUCUCUACUCUUGUGUUUGUAAUUCAAUAGGAAGACCACCAGGAUUAAACUAUCACAAAUCCAAGCCUAAGCAUUGUGGCACUGAUUUCUGGCGAACAAUAAUAUGAUUUCUCUCAGGAAGUGCUUAUGUGUGAGAAUGAUAAUGCUGUUUCAAAUUGUGUGUUUUAUAAUUUGGACGAAAAAGCUAAUCCUCGCAAAAGAGACUGAAUCUAACAACAUAGCAGUCUUUAUUUUCAUUUUUAAUUCUUUUUUAGAAGAACAAUAGCGCAGAGUCUGAUCAAGUAUGAUUGAGUGAUCCUAGCCAAACGUUUGAAAUACAAAUUAUGACAUGUCAAUCUAUCCAUUGUAUAAAAAUAAUAAUAAUAUAUAUUAUUGAAUAAACAUAUAACAUGUCAAUCUAUCCCAUUCAUAUUACUGAAUAACAAUAAUAUAUAUUUAAAAAUGUAAAUAAUUUAUAUUAAAAAUAAUAAUAUAAUGGCCGAGCAUUCAAGUUGUAAUUUGUCAAAAUUUUACUGAAUAAAAUACCUACGUAUUUUAUUCAUAUUUUUCCCAUUCUGUUUUUUUACUAACAAUGAAUGAACGUACAGCCGUGCGGCUAUACUUGAUUUUUUUCACCUAUACUCAUUGCUUUUUAAUUUUAUUUAAAAAAUAGUGCAACCGCGCUGCUAUACUUGGUUUUGUUCUUUUUUUCUUUUUAAAAAAAUAGUCUAGCCGAGCGGCUAUACUCAUUUGUUUCUUUAUUUAAAAAAAAAAAUAGUAUAGCCGUGCGACUUUACUGUUUUUAAUAAGUGCACCCUAGGCGGUAGGCGAGUCCUUUUUGUAAUAUAGUGUAGUUGCGCGGUUAUACCCUAUUUUUUAAAUUUUUGUUUAGUAUAGCCACGCGAAUAUACUAGGUUUUAUUAAUGUUUCUUAAAAAAUAAUAUAGUCGCGCAACUAUAAUGUAUUAUACACGUAUGUACGUAUUUUCUAAUAAUACAUCCGUGUUCUGCAUACGUCUUAAAGACUUGGUAAAGUUCACAUUUUAAAAAAAGCAAAAGUACAAUACUCUUAUUAUACAGGUAUGUAAGUAUUUUGCAUGUUUAAUACACGUAUUUUUUACAAAAAUUUCAAUAAGACACACAAAAUUCACGUAUUAUACACAAAAUUCUCACAUAUUAUUGAAUAAAAAUAAUAUAGCGAUCGAACAUUUAAGUUGUAAUUUGAAAAAUUUUGCCGAAUAAAACACAUACAUAUUUUAUUCGUAUUUUUAAUGUUCCGUAUUUUACUAACAAUGAAUGAAUGUUCAGGCACGCAGCUAUACUUGCUUUUUUCACCUACACUCGUUGUUUUUUAAUUUAUUUAAAAGGCUAUACUUGGUUUUUUAUAAUUUAUUUUUAAAAAAUCGCACCGCCGCACUGCUAUACUCGUUUUCCCUAAUUUUUUAAAAUCGUAUAGCCACACAGCUUUACUAUUGCUGACACGUGGCACCUAGGCGCUAGUCAGGUCCUUUUUGUAAUAUAUAAAAAUCGUAUAGCUAAGCGGCUAUACCCCUUUUUUUAAUUUAAAAAAUGGUAUAGUCGGCUGGCUGUACUCGGUUUUAUUAAUGUUUUUAAAAAAAAUAGUAUAGCCGCGCGGGUAUACUUAUUUUGACAAUUGGGCAACUAAUUCCUGUGUGGGUCCUCAUUUGUUGUUUUAUAAAUAGUAUACCAUGCGGCUAUACUCGAUUUUUUUAAUUUUUUAAAAAAAUAGUAGAGCCGGUCUGCUAUACUCGGGGUUUUCCUAAAUUUUUUUUAAGAAAUAGUAUAGCCGCGUGGCUAUACCGGAUUUUUAUUUUUAAAAAAAAAUAAUAUAGACGGGCAGCUAUACGCGGUUUAAUUAAUAUUUCUUAAAAAAAAAUAUUAUAGCCGCUCGGCAAUACUAAUUUUGACACGUGGGGGCCUAAUCGCUGUGCAGGUCAUGUUUUGUUUUUUAUUAUUUAUAAAUAGUAUAGCCGCGCAGAGACUUUGUUGAAGACUUCAAUUCAACAGAAAUUGGCUUGAGACUUUGUUGCAUGUUGGGAGAUAUAUUCACUGUGCUGCCUUCUAUUCGUCAAAACAUUGUAUUGGCCAGUCUGUUUUCCCAAACUGAUGACAAAAUGUUUCCACAAAACUUAUAAAUUGGACGUUGAAAUGAGUGACCUAUGGGGCAAGGGUCCAAAUCUGUAUGCUACCCCACACAUCAAAUGAUAAUGAGGUAAAGUUGGAACUUUGUAGCACAUGACAUUGGCUUUAUGUUCUAACUAGUUGUAUCUUUUUUUCAAUUUCUCAAACUAAUAUUUGAUAUAUUGGUGCAAUUUUCCAGUUUUUGAGUUUCUGAGUGCUGCAUAUUCCAACUAACAAGCUGGUCUGAUUUUCAUUCAGUUGGAAGAAACACGAGUACCUUUCAGAAAAUCCUAAUCCUAAUUCCAAUUCCAAUAUGUUGGUACAGAAGUUCCUCAAUGGGCUCAAGGUUAUUGACAACAAGGUCAAAGAAUCAGAAUUGAAAGACGUAUCAACUUCCAAGGCUUCCGCUUCCGUUUUCGUUUCCAAGGACGACGCUUCCGCUUCCAAGGGCUACGCUUUCAUUUUCACUUCCAAGGACGACCCUUCCGCUUCCAAGGACGAUGCUUUCAUUUCCAAGAAAGCCUAGAAAGAACGUUUCUUGAAACAUUUUUUCAUGAAAGAAGUAGAUCUAGAGCCAGAGGACCAAGCUUUCAUGGAAUUUCUCAGAAGAAGUCAUUCUAAAUGACCAAUUUGUCGUGGAAUUAGAAAGUGACCGCCUCCUCACUGAAAUCUUGGAGGUAAUCAACGAUAUUACUGCAGUGACAGAGAAAUCUAAUGUGUCUUUUGUGGUUCGACCCAAGAAGAAAAAGAUUGUACAAAAGUUCCUUAAUGGGUUCAAGGUUAUUGACAGUAAGGUUAAAAAAUCAGAACUGAAAGAAGCAUCAGCUUCCAAGGCUUCCGCUUCCGCUUCUGCUUUUGAGAAAGCCGAGAAAGAACGUUUCUUGAAACAUUUUUAUAAGAAAGAAGUGGAUCCAGAGCCAUAGGACUAAGACGUCGAUCAAGAGCCAGAAGACCAAGCUUUCAUGGAACCACUUUUACAGGAAGAAGUCGAGCAAGAUGACCAAUUUGCUGUGGAAUUAGAAAGGACCGCCUCCUCAUUGAAAUAUUGUGGGUAAUCGACGAUUUUACUGCAAUCUUGGAGAUAAUCAACGAUCUUACUGUAGUGACAAAGAAAUCUAAUGUGUCUUUUGUGGUUCUAUCCAAGAAGAAAAAGAAUUUGGACACCAUCAAAACAUUGGAUUGGCAGGUUUGUUUUCUUAAUUUGAUUACGAAUUGUUUCCAAAAACCAUAUGAAUUGGACGUCGAAAUGAGUGACCUAUGGGGCAAGGGUCCAAAUCCGUAUGCUACCCUACACAGCAAAUGAUAAUGAGGUAAAGUUGAAACUUUGUAGCAUAUGACAUUGGCUUUAUGUUCAAACUAGUUCUACCUUUUUUUCUCUUUCUCAAACUAAUAUUUGAUAUAUUUGUGCCAUUUUUCAGUUUUUAAGUUUUUGACUGCUACAUAUUCCAACUAACAAGCUAGUCUGAUUUUAAUUUGGCUAGAAGAAAUACGAGUAACUUUCAGAAAAUCCUAAUUCCAAUUCCAAUGGGUUGGUAUAGAAGUUCCUCAAUAGGCUGAAGCUUAUUGACAACAAGGUAAGAGAAUCAAAACUGAAAGACGCAUUAACUUCCAAGGACGACGCUUCCACUUCCGCUUCCAUGGACGACGCUUUCGUUUCCUCUUCCAAGGACGAACCUUCCGCUUCCAAGAAAGUUGAGAAAGAAUGUUUCUUAAAACUUUUUUCAAGAAAGAUGUGGAUCCAGAGCCAGAGGACCAAGACGUCGAUCCAUAGCCAGAGGACCAAGCUUUCAAAGAACCACUUUCCAGGAAGAAGUCGGGCCAGAGGACCAAUUCCUCGUGGAAUUAGAAAGGGGCUGCCUCCUCAUUGAAAUCUUGGAGGUAACCAACGAUCUUAUUGCAAUCUUGGAGGUAAUCAACGAAUUUAUUGCAGUGACAAAGAAAUCUGAUAUAUCUUUUUUGGUUCGACCCAAAAAGAAAAAGAUUUUGGACGCCGUUAAAAUAUUCUAUUUGCAAGUUUGUUUUCUCAAAUUGAUGUCGAAUUGUUUUCAGAAAACUUAUGAAUUGGACGUCGAAAUGAGUGACCUAUAAGGGCAAGGUCCAAAUCCGUAUCCUACCCCAUACAGCAAAUCAUAAUGAGGUAAAGUUGGAACUUUGUAGCACAUGACAUUCGUUUUACAUUCUAACUAGUUCUAUCAUUUUUCUCUUUCUCAAACUAAUAUUUGAAAUAUUAGCUCAAUUGCCCACGAAGAGAAUUGGCUAGCUUCUUCCAAAGCCAACCCACCCCCCACGUGUUCGAAUGACCGACAAUUCGCUAGCUUCUUCAUCAACUCUGUCGAAAGCCAUCCUUGACAUACUCAUGCAUUGAGAAGGUUUGGUAGCCGUACUCCCAACGCAAAAGCAUAACCGAGGACAAUCCUAAGCUAAAGUUCACCCGAAGCCGACCCAUCGUCACCACGUGUUCAUGUAGCCGACAAUUGGCUAGCUUCUUCAUUAACUCCGCCGAAAGCCAUCCUCGACAUACCUUACAUUGAAAAGGUUUGGUGGCUGUACUCCCAACACAAAAGCAUAACCGAGGACAACUCCAAGCUAAAAUAAACCCGAAGCCAACCCAUCGUCACCCACUCCCGCCUCGUGUGGUGUGGAGGUGAUUGGAUAGUUACGGAUUGAGGACUUGCCAAGGACCAAAAUGUGUCAUUUGUAAGAAAUUUUUCAAAAAGUUUUUAAAAAUCUUAUGGGUUUGCAACGCAUAAGAGCAUCACUUUCAAAGCGUGCCAUUUUUCAGUUUUUGAGUGCUGCAUAUUCCAACUAACAAUCUGGUCUGAUUUUCAUUGGCUGGAAGAAACACAAGUAGCUUUCAAAAAAUCCUAAGUCCAAUUCCAGUAGGUGGGUACAAAAGUUCCUCAAUUGGCUCAAGAUUAUUGACAACAAGGUUAGAGAAUCAGAACUGAAAGAUGCUUCAUCUUCCAAGGCUUCCGCUUCCACUUCUAAGGACGACGCUUUCGUUUCUGCUUCUAAGGACGACGCUUCAGCUUCCAAGAAAGCCGAGAAAGAAUGUUUCUUGAAACAUUUUUUCAAGAAUGAAGUUGAUCCAUAGCCGGAGGACCAAGACAUCGAUCCAGUGCCCAAAGACCAAGCUUUCAUGGAACCACUUUUCCUGGAAGAAGUCGAGUCAGAAGACCAAUUUUCGGUGGAAUUAGAUUGGGACCGCCUCCUCACUAAAAUCUUGGAAGUAAUCAACGAUCUUACUUCAAUAUAGAGUUAAUCAAUGAUCUUACUGCAAUUAAAGGGAAAUCUGAUGUGUCUUUUGUGGUUCGACCUGAAAAGAAAAAGAUUUUGGAUGCCAUCAAAACAUUGGAUUGGCAUGUUUGUUUUCUCAAACUGAUGACAAAUUGUUUCCAGAAAACUUAUGAAUUGGACGUCAAAAUGAGUGACCUAUGGGGCAAGGUUCCAAAUUCGUAUGCUACCUCACACGGCUAAUGAUAAUGAGGUAAAGUUGGAACUUUGUAGCAUAUGACAUUGGCUUUAUGUUCAAACUAGUUCUGUCUUGUUUUCUCUUUCUCAAACUAAUAUUUGAUAUAUUUGUGUCAUUUUUCAGUUUUUGAGUUUUUUAGUGCUGCAUAUUCCAAUUAACAAGCUGGUCUGAUUUUCAUUCGGCUAGAAGAAACACGAGUAGUUUUUAGAAAAUCCUAAUUCCAAUUCCAAUGGGUUGGUACAAAAGGUCCUUAAUGGGCUCAAGGUUAUUGACAGCAAGAUCAGAGAAUCAGAAAUGAAAGACACAUCAGCUUCCAAGGAUGACGCUUCCGCUUCCUCUUCGAAAGACAACGCUUCCGCUUCCAUCGACGACGGUUUCGCUGCCGCUUCUAAGGACGACCCUUUCUCUUCCAUUGACGACGUUUUCGAUUCUAAGAAAGUCGAGAAAGAACGUUUCUUGAAACAUUUUUUCAAGAAAUAAGUGGAUCCAGAGCCAGAGGACCAAGACGUGGAUCCAGAGCCCGAGGACCAACCUUUCAUGGAACCACUUUUCCAGGGAGAAGUCGAGCCAGAUGACCAAUUUACCAUGGAAUUGGAAAGGGACCGUCUCCUCACUAAAAUCUUGAAGGUAAUCAACGAUCUUACUGCAAUCUUGGAGGUAAUUAACGAUCUUACUGCAAUGACUGAGAAAUCUGAUGUGUCUUUUGUGGUUCGACCCAUGAAGAAAAAGAUUUUGGAUGUCGUCAAAACAUUAGAUUGGCAGGUUUGUUUUCUCAAACUAAUGACGAAUUUUUUCCAGAAAACUUAUGAAUUGGACGUCGAAAUGAGUGACCUACGGGGCAAGGGUCCAAAUCUUUAUGCUACCCCACACAGCAAAUGAUAAUGAGGUAAAGUUGGAACUUUGUAGCAUAUGACAUUGGCUUUAUGUUCUAAUUAGUCCAAUCUUUUUUUCUCUUUCUCCAACUAAUAUUUGAUAUAUUUGUGCCAUUUUCUAGUUUUUGAGUUUUUGAGUGCUGCAUAUUUCAACUAACAAGCUGGUCUGCAUAUUCCAACUAACAAGCUGGUCUGAUUUUCAUUCGGUUGGAAGAAACACAAGUAGCUUAAGGUUCUUGCUUGAAGUGGAUGCUUUUGGAUGUGUAAUAUCCACAAACACAAGAGCAAUGGAUACAUAACCAAAGCUGGCCAAUAUUCUCUAUGUCAUUUGAUUUUUUGUAUAUUGUAGCAACAUUAUCAGGAUUAGUAGUUUUCCAAGACUAUCAAACAGGAUUUGGUGUCAUAGGAUUUUUUGUAUAUUGCAACAACAUUAUCAGGAUUAGUAGUUAUCGAGAACUAUCAUACAGGUUUUGGUGUAGUAACCUGAUCCUAAAUUAUUAUUUAAUUAUUUAAUUAUUCAAUUAAAAGACGAUUUUACCCCGAUAAUAAUUUAAUGGUUAAAAGUUGACUUUUUAUUUGGAAAAGAAUUUGGCAAUUUUACUAACUGUUGUGUAGAACAUGUCCAGAUGAGUCCGUAGACAUGUAGUGAGCUCAAAUCGGAGUUAUAACGAAGAAUGUAUGAUCUACAGCAGCCCAAUGGCAUAACCGUAAAUAUUUUGAAGUUAGUUUUUUUUUUAAAACCCAGAAUUUCUUCUCUCUCUCUCUCCCUCCCAUCGGCGACACCCCUCUCUCCCCCAAAAACAGCACCGAUUGGAUUUUUCAUCACCGCCGCCAUCUUCGGACACCAACUUGACGGAAUUGGUACCAAAAGAACCAGCUCAACCUCCUCUUCCUAACCCCACCCAACCUCCGAUAGAACCGCCUCCUGUGGUCACCGAAAAAAGCAAAAAUAUGGCCGGUUUUGACCCAAACUUCCCAAAACUCGUUCUGGCGAUUCCGGCCACCAAUUUCUUCGAUCUAGGUAUGCUGUUUCAUGCUCUCAAUGUGUUUUAGCUGAUGGUUGGUUGUUUGGGAUCAAUUUAUGUAUUUUCAAAUUGAAAUUAUCGCUUAAAGUUUGGCCGAUUUUCGGCUCGUGAUUUCGGUAAGUUCCGGUACUUUUUGGCCAUGGUCCAAGAACAAAAGUUGUUUCACUCAUUGUUAUGAUCAUGUAGGUAUAGGUCUGGACCGGCGAUUUGGAGAUUUUUGAUCACCAGAAUUACUCUAGGCACCCACUCGUAUGGCGAGGCGUGGGCCACUUUAUGGCGAGCCUUUGGGUCAUAAAAUGUUCCUCAUCUCGUCCUGAGCACGACGGUAUGUUUCGAUGUGAAUUUGGUUAUCGUUUGGUUGUCGAUUGGAUAUCGCAUAUUAGGCGUUAUUCGGGUUCGAUAUGUUCGGAUCGUUGGAUUGACUCCAUUUCUAUAUGUUGAUCUGGGCAUCCCUAAGAUUGUGUAGGAAUUUGCGGAUCGUGAAUUGGAGUCCUGGAUACUUUGAUUCAAUGAUUCAAAGAUUAGGUUAAAUAACGACCGUCUAAUCGUGCGAUUGAGAGCUAUCCGACCGCUCGAUCAAGACCAAACUUACAGAACGUGUUUAGUAGACUUGGUUGAACCUGUAGAAACUUUCGGAUCGAAAAUCGGAGGUCUUGGGCCCGCGGGCCCCGUUGACCAAUAUGGGAAAUUUGAUCCCUCGGUUGACUGAGAGUCUUCCGAGGUAGUUUCAUCCUUCGAGAAGUACUAGAACGAUCUUAUAAACGAGGCUUGAUUGUUAGGUGAAGUAUUUUGAUUAUGUUUAGAUUAUGAGAUUAUAUUUUAGUAUUUUAUGGUAUUCUUGGGUAUUAUUCUUGAUAUUUGAAAGUUAUGCAAUAUUGGAAGUUAUGGGAUCUCUCGGGAUUAUUGUUUAGUAUUAUUUAUUAUUAUUAUUUUGAUUAUUAAUAAAGUGUAUGACUGAAUGAUAUUGGGUUUUUUAUUUUAUAUGAAAGCCUAUUGCUGUAAUUGUGGAAUAUAGUAUUUUAUGAAAAUUAUAUAUAAACAAGUGUUGUUUAUUAUUUAAAUUACUUUGGGGUCUUGACAGGUUUACAAGAUUAUAUUAUGAGAUUAUUGGACUUUAAUUUGAUAUUGAGGUUUGUGAAUAGUUUUGGAUCUUUAUGAACUUUAUGCUGGAGAAUGGAUUUUGGCUACCCAUGUAAGAACUGAUUUUUUUGGGAAGUCGAGAAAAGAUUUGGAAAAUGGAUUUUUGGAAUAAGGGAAAUUUUAUGAUAAGUUUCGGAAUAUGGUUUUCAAACCCACCAUAAGAGUAUCCCCCAGUUGCCUUUGGAAAAGUUUAGUCAUUUAUGAUAAUGCCCCACAAGUCUCGAGGACACCUGAACCUUGUGGUGCGAUGAUAUGCAUUUUCGGGCUGACUACAUGACCCCCGAGUUCUGUGAGGAAGUGCGUUCUCAGGCUAACUACGUGUCCCCCGAGUUCUGCGAGGAUAUCCGAUCUCGAGUUGACUAUAUGUCCCCCGAGUUCUGUGAGGAUGUAACAGACAGGGUACUUGGAAUUGACGGGUUAUGAAUGGGGGUACACCUAGGUGGACAGUAUUUGAGUUUUGAGAUGUUUUAAACUAAAAUUGAUGAUUUUAUCUUCGUACUUAUUGGUGAAGGUUUUAAUACAUGUUUUUCGAUUUAUGAGACAAGGAUUGAAGUUUUCUAAGUUUUAAAGAUUUUAUAUAAUUCACAAUUAUUUUCUUAAGUGAUGAAUUUGUUUUUACAUGUGAAAGAGGGAAACAUGUUUUAUUUAAAUUGUUGAUAUUGACAUUAAGGUUUCACGUGGUCAAUGUUAUUUUAAUAAUUUUCUCGUUUUCCUACUUAUCAAUAAUAAGUUAAUUAUAUAUAUAUACAAGUUAUUUAUUUAUUUAUGCACAUGUGGGAUGAGUGGAAGAUUGUUCUAACAUCAAUAGCCCUUGAUUGAGUUUCAGCGGAUUGAUUCGAAUUACUUAUGAAGGUUUUUCGAUUUUAUUUGAUUAAGUUGCCUAUGUUUACUUAUAUUUUUUGUAAAAAGAACCACGUGUGGCUUGAUCCCUUGGUAAGGGUACAUAGGCAACCUAGAGUUACUAGGUACAUCCACAUAAGCAAGUGCUGAAAAUUUGCUCAGUUAGGUCAUAUUGGCAAUUGAUAAUGUAUCCAUGUCGUUCUAAGAGUUGAAAUCAGAUUCAAAUGGUUGAAUGAUUUAUGUGGUAUAAUGAGGUCUAAGGCCAUUUAGAUUUAUUUGUCUGAUGCUUGCUGAACGAUUGAGAUUUGAUUUUCAACUUUAACUACAUUAUUUUUUACAGGUAAAAUUUUUGGGAAAUGUCCGUUUUUCAGAGGAGACUCUGCAUGUUUUCUGGCAUAAGUUAAACCCUUGAGGGUGUUUUUGUUUUGUGGUUCAGGGUAAGAGGGGUAGUUUGGACAAUUGUGCCUGACACCUGCUAGGUGUUAAAUACACACAGGGUUUGACACAGAUUCCAAAGUGGAAUUUGGGCCGGGUCCUAUCAUUUGGGAUCAACCUAGGGGAAACAGGAUUACAAGAUAGAGAAGCAGUGAGUGUAGAGUUUGAAAUAUUACAAAUAGAUGCUGAUAUGAUACAUUUUUGUGAUCGUCUUAAAAUUUCCUUAUGUUUUAAAUGAUUUUUCAGAUAUUUGCAGCUAUAGCAAGCAAAUAAUAAUCUCACUUCUUUUGGAACAUAUAAACUAUAAUGCAAGACCGGACUAAAAUUUUAUUAAUAUAUAUAAUAUCCUGGCCAGUCCAAAGGGUAGUACAAUGGUAGAAAGGAAGGACUUGAUUACAUGGCCCAAUUUAUUGCCAUCCCAUGAACACAUAUAUAGCCCGACACAGCUUUAUAGAAAUUAUUAGCAUGGAGGCAUUCCUGGUGGCGGAGCUAAAAUUUGGGCUCCUAGACCCUUUCCAUUUUUCACAAUGAACGUCACGUCCAUGCCCCAUGACAUAUGCCGAUCCAGAUGGCAGUGCAUAAACCAAACUCCUGUGAUCAACCAAAAAGUCAUUGACAUCACAUGAUCAGCAUCAUCCAUCAUCAUUCAUUAUAACUUGAUUAAUUCAGAAGUUAACCAAACGAGAGGAAAGUUACCAGGAUUGUCUGCCUUGAAUCUAACGGCAGUCCAGCCAUUUACAGGGACAGCGAUGGUGUUUUGAAGAGGAGGGUCAACAAGAUUAUAUUUCAAAGGGUCCUUAUCCUCGUCAAAAUUCCCAAGUCCCCAUCCAACAACAUAGAAACUGAAUCCAUGGAGAUGCAUUGGGUGGUCAUCCCCUGCAACCAAAUUUGUCCCCUGAAACACAAUCUCCACCGUCGAGUUGUAUUCCAGUAUCUUCACUACCGUCCCCUGUUUCGGGGUCUGUAAGUACAAUGGCAAGUCCUGAGCCGUAAAAUUAAACAGAAAAGGUGGGAAAUUCGGAAAUCGAGUUCCAAAUGCCCCAUUGACAUGGUAAUAGUAAGCCUGCAAUAUGUCAAUGCUGGGGUCGACAAAGCUAAUGUUGUUGACGCUAGCGGCCAGACGUGUCCCAUUAGGCCCUGCACAUGAAUUAUUUAGGCAUGGUAGUGUGUUGAUAGAAAGUGUGUAAAACAAUGGAGUUGUUAUGUUGCGCGGCACGUCAACGGGGUGGUUUUUAUCAGCUAGACUUCUGAGACUACCAGUAAAAUGAACCGAUGCUUUGGUGUCGUUAUGGGAAGGAAGAUUAGGCAAGGAAGGGGUUGAAGUUGAGGUAUAAUUUCCAUUGUAUUGUAGUAUGGCGGUGGUGGUUGUGUUGUCAUAAAGAAUCCCAGCCCCACCAACGUAGGCUUUAGCAGCAAUAUAGUAGUGGUUGGGGCUCUGGUCAGCAGUGAACAAGAGGUCAAUGGUUUGGCCGGGUGAUAUUGUGACAUAAUCUGAUGAAAAUGGCUUGGUGUAGCUAGCAUCUGAGCCCACAACCGUGACCUUGUGAUUGGCAAUCGAGAAAAACAGCAUCUCUUGCACAGCUGAAUUGAUUAGCCUUAGCAGGUAGGUCUUCCCAUAAUCAACCAUCAGCUUGAAUGUGUCUGGUUUUGAGCAAGGAUAAAGAUCGCCAGGUUGACCAUUGAUGAGGAAAGCACUGGAAAUGUUAGGGUCCCCUCCACUUUGAAUAGUUUCAUUAUAAAGCUGUCCUAUAUCUUUCUUCCACCACUCCCCUACAAUUUUCAAGUCAAUUUGUUGAACAGGUAUAUAUCCAAUAACAUUAUAUUAUUGUCGAAUUAAUUUUGCAUUACGUACCUAAGAUGAUUGGAAAUUCUGCAUAAGGCUUGGGGAAAGGGUAAGUGUCUCCUUUCUUGGGGUAGAUGACCAUAGCGCCGUGGACGGUGGCUCGAUCCCACUCACUAUGAGCAUGCCACCAUAGGGUGCCUUCCUGUGAGGAAAAUAUGAUAGUUUGGGUAAACCUGCCUCCUGGUUGGAUUGGGCACUGCGUGAUAUAAUCAGGACCGUCCGACCAUGGAUUCCUUGGUUGCUUAGCUCCAUGCCUGAAAUGAAAUCCUUUAAUUAUAUAUCACAAGUCACAAUUACAUAAAAAUAAUAUAUUUAAAUAAAUAAAUAAAAGAAUAUUACCAGUGGAUGGUAAUGUUACGAUUGCCCUUGUUAUAGACAUCGACGAUGAUAGUAUCUCCCGUGCGAGCAUACAGUGUUGGUCCAGGAAACUGGCCGUUUACAGUCAAUAUGUUCUUCGUGCUACAGAGUCUUCUAUAUGGAGUUUCUUCCACCUACAGUGUUUACAAAGAUAUCCUUCAUUAGUUUUGUUUAUUUCAAGCUCUGAAUCAAUCAACAUGAUCAUAUAUACAUAACCAUGGAUGCAUGCAAUUGAUACAUACACACACACAAAUACAAAAUAUUAUACUAAUUACCACAAAAGUGUAACGAGGCCAAGCUUGGCAAUGGAAGAUGCCAACACACAAUAACGUCAAGCCUAAAAGUUGCAAGCUAAUUAAAAUCUUCAUGGCCAACAUGAGUCUUUCUCUUCUAGCUAGUGAUGACAGUACUUGAUCUUUUUUCUAUGACUAGCUAAGCUACAGCUAGCUGAUGCAGUUCAGAUGAGUUCAGGGGGCAUAUUCCAUAAUGCCAUGCCACCUAUAUAUACAUAUACAGAGAGAGAGAGAGAGAGAGAGAGAGAGAGAGAGAGAGAGAGAGAGAGAGAGAAACACGAGGCAACAAACAAUUAGACGUAAUCGAAAAUUUGCUGGCGAAGGUACCCUAAAGCAUUUCAGUCAUUGCAAGUUGUAACUUGCAGAAUUUUGCUUUGAAUUGAAUCUAAGGCUAAUUAGUUUGCUCUGUUGGCUGCUUCUUUAUUGGUAUCAACAUGUUCAGUGAGUGUUACCUAGCUACCAUAUUCGAUGAAUGUUACUCAUCGCUUUUCCUUUCACUCCCUAAUUAUGUUGGAUAUUAUAAUCAUUAUAACAACUAAUUAUGUCGGAUUACCUAGCUACCACUCAAAUAGGGAUACUUAAUCCAACAUAAUUAAGAAAUAGGAAAGACCAAUUUAUAAACAAACUAUCUGAUCAACGGUAGCAGUUAAUUCUUACCUCACCAGAAAAAUUCCAAGAUCCUAUAUUUUAAUGCCUGAUCGUUGAGGCUUGAUUACGGUACGUAACACUUUUAGGAAACCAGUAACAAUCAAUAGAUUUAUUUAUCCUAGUACAUCACAUUGCACAAUUUACUUUGCUUCUACUUUUCUAUUUAUGGUGCUUAAUGGAUAAAAUAUUUAUCCUAGUGCUAGUACCUGAUAACGAAAUUUGAGCAACAACCAAAACCGAACAGUUUGGUUUUAGCCUCUGUAUAAUAUUAAUAGCAUGUGAAUCUUUUUACCAUCCUCUCCCCGGAAGAAAGAAAGAAAGAAAUGUGUGGUAAAUCAGAAAAAAAUACGUAUUAAACAAAAAACACGAUCAUUGAUGGACAUAUUUUAUAUUAUAUAUUUAACCUCAUUCUUAGUAUAUUUUGGUUAAUAUUUUGGAAGAAUUUUGAUACUUUGAAUUAUAUUUCCAAUAUAGGACUUUCGACUCUCUCUGGAGCAAAACAUAAUCAAAUUGAGGAAUUUUGGAGUAAUUCCAGUUGGAGGACGUUCUUGAGUCACUUAGCUUGAUCAUAUCAAAAUUUCAGAUUUUUCUUCCAAGCGGUUAUUUUCUGGUAAUAAAAUAAAGGAGCAGUGCGCGGUGCUAGAAUAGUGACGUGUUGGGCUUUUAUUGCGUUUUUGGAGCCCAAGAUGACCUCGGAUGGGUUCGUGGCCUUCUAGAGAAGUGUUCAGAACAUUUUUAUCUUUAAAACAAGCUAUCUUGGGCCAGAUUUGGAGGAGAUUUGGGGCUAAAACGUGGCUGGGCAGAUUUUGGGCAGAUUCUCCUAUUCCAAUUUGAACUUUAUUUCCUAGUAUUAUUUUAUUUUAAUUAGUUUCCUUGUGGGGAUAGAAAAGCUGUACAUUGGCAGCUAGGUUUUAAGGGGUAUUUAAGCUCUUUCUCACAAGGAAUUGAGGACUCCCUUUUCACUUUUGAACUUUGCAUUGUGGAGAGCAAUUGCUAGGGUUUUGGGUUUUCACAACUUUCAGGUGUUUUCGUUCUUUUCUUCUUAAUGAUAUUUUCUUGGAUUUCAAUUAUGAGUAUGCGUAACUAAAUUUCUUUUGCUAGGGUGAAGCCUUGAACCUUAGCAUGAAUAUGUGAUUUUUAUUUAAUUGCUUAUGAUGAGUGCAUGCCUACUUGAAUUGUUAAUCAUUGUUUUAAACUAUCUAAUUGUCUUAAUGCCUGAUCACCAUUAGGAUCUUUAGAAAAGUAAUUGGAUGCAAUUUUGGUCGGAAGGUUCCCUGAAAUUGAUGCUACCUUCUUGUGAUUAAUAAUUGUAAUUUCACUUAAGAUGAAUACCACGUCUUAAGGGUUGCAUGGUUUUUCUAAGGGUUUUCACAAAACUUAAUGAAUCUUUCAUGUUCAGAUUUGAUCCGAACGUCCUGACGGGUUGCAUGUUAGAUAUACGUUCUGUGUUGGAGGUUCCAAGUAGAAUAUACAUUAGGAAAACCUAACCUUCAAAGUGGCAUGUGCAAAUCAUAAGUAAUUGGUAAAAGUUCAUAGGAUUGCUAGGUGAUGGUGAAACCCUAGUGCUUUUAUAAAUUGAUAUUCAAAACUCUUUCCUUCAAUCGUAUUUGUUUUUAGAAUCAACCAAAUUCAUAAUCAUCUUUCUUGACCUUUUAUUUUAAGUAGUUAUUUGGAAUUUAUUUUUACAUAAAUUGCUAAUUAGUCCUUGAGGAAAACGACAUUGCAUGAGCAUCUAUACUACAAUAGCCUUGUAUUCUUGCAAGUAUUUUAUGUGAUUUUAACUCUGUUUGCACAAGUACUAAAAAUCCUAUCAAUCAUCACAUCACAUCACAUGUGAUGAGAUAAUGAUAAAGUUCUGGUGCAAUGAAUUCUUCUCAAUUUGGGAUCAAAGACAAACAACAAGAAGGUCAUUGUUGUGGGUUAUUGGGUUAGGUAACCAACCAAAACACACACCACCCCACCACUUUGGUCCAAUGGCUGUGAGAUCAACAUCUUACACAAUAAGGUCAAAGGAACUCACUCCCACCUGGAGGUGGCCGCCGCGUCUCUUGCAUUUUGGUCUUAUAUAUAUCAUUCACAUGUCACAUCCUUGACUUUCAAUUUAACCGUCACACAUUAUAAUAUGUGUGAAUUAAUAACAACAAAAUAUAAUUUAAUUGUCACACGUAUUAUAAUAUGUGUAAAUUAAUAACACAACAUGACUAAGUGACCGUGUCACGUAUGUAAUAUGCCAUGAGUUAAGAAAUGGGGCCUAUUAUAUGACAUAUAUACGGGAACUAUAUAUUAGUUUGAUUUACGGUUCUUUUUCCAGUGUUUUAGAACACACCUAUUUCCUAACACACAGUUGCAUUCAACGGUCAUUGGUUUGUCACUGACUAGCUAGAAAGAGGUUCCUCCGUCCGCUAUGUUUAGUUUAGAAAUUAGAGAGGCCUUCCCAAGCUGAAUCAGUGCAUCGCUUUGCAUAAUCAAAUUUUAGCAUUGUUAAUGUUCACAAAGAAACAAAAAAGAAAGAAAGAGUAACUUAUACAAUAUCGCUCAAACUCCAGUUAUUAUCCCUAACCUAUUUUUCUCAUCCCUUGUAUCCACAUAUAACAUAUUGCGUCUUAAAAUAUACAUGAAGUUAGCGAUGCCUAUGAAUCAAUCUCUUCAAGCUCCACAUGACGUCCACAAUCUGAAACAGAUGAGGACGAAGAUUCGACAUUCUUUCCUUUGCCAUCCGAAGAUGCUGAUGGACCCGUGUCCAUGCUUUCCUUCAGUUUUGGCUUCUGUAAAGUUUGGAGCUGAUUCUGCAGGAUCUGUAGAAGAAAAAUAGUUAUUCAGAAGCAAAGCACAAUAAAAUGGCGGGCAGCGACCACAACAUCACAGCAUAAGUGAUUAUCUUUUCUUCAAAUUAUGUUUCGCAACAAACAAUCAAUAGUACCUCGAUCUGGUGUUGGAGAAAUUUUUUCUGGGCCUCCAGUUGAGAAGCUGUUAUAUUCGGAUCGCCGCCCAACCUCUCCCCAUAGGCCACAUUGGCUCCAGGAACCUCAAAUGGGACAAACAUGUAAUGUGGAAAUUGAGGGGAGGACAAGUUUGAAGGUCCACCAGGAGUUGCAAGCUGUGGGUGCGAUACUCCACUAGAUUCAGUAUUAGCGGAGUCGGUCAUUUGUCUUUGAAACUGAGGAAGUGCCACUGUGCCACAUGUCCAGGAGACCUACAUACAACAGGACAUUCUAUAAGGCUCUUUGCAGCCACAUGUCCAAAGUAUAUACACAUGCACACUCUAACAGGCAUGCAAAUACCUAAAACCUAGGAACAAACGAAAAUCCGAAAGGGACAAUAUGAGCACUCAACAAUAUAAAAAGCAAACAGUUCACUAGGAUAAAGGUGCCGUACCAUACUAGUCUGUUUGCAGAUGGAUAUACAUGAGACUUCUCAUAUAUCGAUGCUGCAGCAGCAGCAGCUUGGAGUCUGGCUUCAUGUUGACUGAGAUUAUCACCAGCAACCCCACCACCUUGAGCUGUUGUGCCUGUCCCUAUUCCCAAUUAAAAUCAUAAUCACCUCACCAAAGCUUUAUAAUGAAUGAAUGAACCACCAUGUCUUACUAAAAGUCCCAUUUGAAACCAAAAGAGCGACCAUGAAACAUGGAACAUGAAACCACACCAGUUCUAAAAACUACUAAAGCCACAAAUUGCAGUUUAUUGGUGCCUUCCUUUUUGUCUUCCUUUAGUAAUGACCCUUCGUGUAUGAAGAAAAAGGAAAUGUAUGUUUAAAAGCUACAAAGUUAAGAUCCCCUAACACCAAAUAUCAGCAGGGGUGGCCCUGAGGGUGUGCAAGUGGUGCCACCGCACAGGGCCUCUGAAUUUUUUUAUGUGUAUAAUACAUGUAUAUAUAUUAAUAAAUGUUAUAUUAAGGGCGCAACUUCAAAAUCCGCUUGUGUAGAGCAAAGUUUUAGUUCUUUUUUGGUUUUUUUUGAUAACAACAAUUAAUAAUGAUAAUAAUUAAAAAGGCAAACACGUUAUUUUCUACAAGUAAUAAUCAUCACCAAUAUCUCUCCUUGGCUCUAUUUUUUAAUCCUUUGAUAUUUUUUUUUUCAAUUUCAAGGAUUUCAACACAAAAAAUCGACCAAAAAAAUUGAUAAAUGUCACUCAAAAGCAAAUAGUCAUAUUUAAAUAUGAAUUCAAAUUCAAGUAUGUAACCUAAAUUGCAAUUUAUAUAUACUAAAUGACUUACUUCAUUAUCAUCUUGCACUGUGCACCUAAGUUCGAUUCACGUAAAAGACAAUCUUGAGGCAACCCAAUACAAUACUCCCUCAUUUCCCUCCCUAUCGAAUGACACAAAUAAAAUAAAAAAGUUCAAAUUGCAAAAAGUAGAAUAAAAAUUAUAGUUGAAAAUUUAUUACGUACAGGAUCAGUAAAAUUUCUUUAAAAAACAGAGUCAUAUGCAAAUGUGACCUAGCUAACAGCAAAACCACCAUAAUGACAAUUAGGGUCAAAUUAAAAUUUUGGUUUUUUAUUUAUUUAUGAAACUUAUUGUUUUCGUUGAAAGAUAAAAACAACUCUAUUGUCUAUCAAUCACAUAAUGUUGCAACCAUUCUUUAAAGCAGCUUGUCCAAUGUCAACACCAACAUUCAAUAUCACAGCUACUUUCACAACCACAUAUUGAAAUAAUAAAUACCCGAUCACAAGGAAUUAGUCAGUAAUUAUGUAGGCAAAUGUCAUGCUACCUAUUAUUUAGUUAAAAUUUAGCUAAAAACACACAAAAGUUAUUUUAGGAACUCAUAAAAUUUGAACUCCAAUCAUACUCCCAAAGUUAGGAAGUCAUAAAUACUAUAGUUAUUUUUUAAUUAAGUAUGAUUGGUUAUCAUCUCUAUAAAAAAAAAUAGUUUGUAUUAAUUAAAAGUUUAAAUAUGCAUAAAACGAAACAUCAUUAAAUUAUAAGGAGUCACUAGGAGUUCUUUCUCUCUCUUCAAAUUUAGGAGUUCCUAGAGGUCUCUUUAUUUUAGGAGGUGAAUAGGGAGCAUAGUUGGAGUUCUAUUUUUCCAAUACCUCCCUAAAAUUUGUCUAAGGAGGUGGUUUAGGGACCCCCAUUGUGGAUGCUUUAAGUGUGAGUAAUUAUAGUGUACGUAGUAUGAGAGUAUGUCACAUGGUAUAACUCAUUUGUUAGAAUAUAUAAGUGGAUAUUUAUUGGUAUUAUAUCAUAAAAGUGGGAGAUAUUAACCAUAUCGCUCAUCCAUAUUAUAACACGUGGACGAGUUACAUCAGCCUUGGUACACAGUAAAGCAUACGUAAAUGUGGGUUUUUGGUAAGUUAUUAGACACAAACAAAUUUAAACACUUAAAUCAAUCUCAACCACAUGAUUUCAUUGAAAUACAACGACUAUGCACCUCAUUCCUUAAAUGAUGACACUGGAUCUCUCAACUGCAUGCAUGGCACUAUAUAUAUAUAUAUAUAUAUUCUUCAGCAAAUAUAUUCUAAUUGCCCGAAUAAUAUCUAUAUUCCUAUCUGUAGACAUUGCUUGUCACAUGCAUACGUCCCCAUCAUUGACUUGACGCUAGCUCUUCAAUUACUCAUGUAGAAUUUUUUUUUUUUCAAGUGCCCAUAGAGAUAAGACUUCCAUAUAUAGGCUCACUUCAAUUAAAAAUGUAGUUAGUAAAGUGGUACACGAUUGCUUUUAUAUAUGCUCGGAUAUUUAAUUUUGCAAAAAUAAUGCAUCCAACUAUCUCAACCAAAAAAGUUGCAUCCAAUUAAUGAUGUUCUUAGAGUAUUGAUACAAAAUAAAUUAGGUGUUAAAAAGAUAUUUAUUUUUGCAAAAAUAAUGCAUCCAACUAACUCAACCAAAAAAGUCGCAUCCAAUUAAUGAUGUUUUUGGAAUAUUGAUACAAAAUUAAUUAGGUGUUAAAAAAUAUAUAAUAUCUAAAUCUGAUCUAUUACGACAAAGACUCAUCAUCACAAUCGUGGUGAUUAUUCAAAAGGUGUAACAUCCCUGAUACAAUUUAAUUGAUUUAAUCAAAUUUAAUUCUUUUGUGAAAUUUUAAUUUUGCCCUUGGGAGUAGGGGUACUUUGGUCACUUUAAGAAAAAAAAACAUUUAUUGUAUGGCAUUACGUAAUGGUGUAAGUUUGUGUUAUCUUAUGUGAGGCCCCAGUUUAAGAUUAGCACAGGGCCCUCAAAAUCUCAAAACCGGCCCUGAAUAUCAGACCUUAUGGUUGUCACACAGCAACUAAAAGCUACACACAAACUGCAAACAUCAGAAGUUUACCCUAUUGAUGAGCAUCAGACCGUGAUCCCCUAUGCCCUCCAGAUGUACUUGCCCCAUUUUUUAAGUGUUGUUAGAAUAAAAAGUAAUGUCAAAACCGUUUAGUAAAUUUUAAUAUAAAACUAGUGUAAUUGUGGAUGAUGACUAAAAUGGACAUGAUGUUGAAAGUGUUACGUGCUAACCAUGUGGUGGUGGGAGAUGGGGGUACUGGUGGUGGUGUGGUGGAGGUGGUGGAGGUGAAAAUAAAGGUGAAGGUGGGUGGUGGUGGAGAAGGUGGUGGUGAUGAAGGUGGAGGUGAGGUGGUGGUGAUGGCAUACGUCAUUUUAGAAAUUAAUGAUGGCAUUAUGGGAAUUGAAAAAAAUUCAUUAAAAGCUCUUAUCUGCUUCUUGUGAAAGUAGCGUUGAAAAGCAACCUAGAUGUUGCUUUUAAAAGCUGAUGUCAGAAGGUCAUUGCUUUUAAAAUAAUCAGGAUGUUUUAUUUUGACCAAACAUCUUAAAGUGCUUAACUUUAAAGACUUAUUCAUGUGUUAACUUCAUCGUCAAACUUUUCGUUAAUUGCUUGUGUGGCAAGCUUGAAUCUCACAUAUUCACUUCUUUUUGUGUGUUAGGUUUAAUUAUUUUUUCUAAACAAAUUGAAGUAAAAUUUUAAAUUUUCCGAUAAGAUAUAAUUUCAUUCAAUAUGAUGUAAAUAAAAUUAAUCUGAACCGUAGCGACGGAUAUGAAUUUAUUCGUCACCAUUGAUCAGUGUAAUUGUUACUUACAUAUUUCAAUUUGAAUGAAAUAUGGCCAUACAUUAGAGAGUUGUUGGAGAAUAAUUUUGUACAUUUACAUAAUUUUAAUAACUUCCCCAUUUUAAUAAAUCUCAACCACGCCCUGCCUGGGCUCACCAUUUUAAUAAGUUCCCCAUCUCUUAGGCAGCUUUCCUCUCUCUUCUCUUGACUUUUCUGUCACGGGACCCACUUGGCUAGGUGUAAAAUUAGAUGUACAUUUGCAUUUUUUUCCCAUCUCACACAUUUACAGCCGUAUACACCUCCCUAUUACAGGACAUUUUGACAACCAAAUGUGUGUAUUUGACAUACACCUUCAUAUACACCUUAUCAUUGUGGAUGCUCUUAGAAUGGUUCACCUAAAGAUAAGAAUUAAGUUCUGUAUUAUAUUUUGCUUAUUAAGUUUUAUUUUGAAAUUUUGUUGUCCUGUUAAAGUACCAAGCUUAAGUCUUUACCCAUUAAUUUUAACAGGCAAUUUCUUUUCUUAGACUAAAUUUUUCAUCUGAAAACAGAGAGCAGACGUUGCGAAAGUCCUUGAUUGUUUUUGGAGGUUAUUGAUGGAUGAUCCGGGUCGGGUUGAUGGAUGUUAUGUAUCUUGAUUACUUAUUUCAAAGUUUCUUGAUUGAGCUACAUCAGCAAUUGUAGCUUCCGAGUCCAACAGCAAAAUCAUCAUGUGUUUGCUAGUUCCAUUGAUGAAGUUUGUUAUCCAUCUCUUCCUUUCUGAAUUGUCUUCUAUUGUUUGGAUUUUAAAGUAUGCAUUUAUAUUCUAUGUUGUUCAUCUUCAGCCCUAUCUAUUUUUGUAAUCAGCAUGAACAAUUUUGCUAGAAAAUCUUCUGGUUACUCUCUCUCUCUCUCUCUCGAUGGUGAAUUCUCUUGCAAUCACUUUAGAGCAUUUCUUGUAAAAAUGCCGACGACCAUGACUGAACACCGUUGGAUUAAUCUAACCAUUUCCAAGUAAGAUACAAAUAUGCAGACAGCAUUUUAUAUCUAACCAUGUAAGAUAAAAUAACCCAUAGAAAUAAAUAUUACAUAAGCAAGCAGCAUAUAAUUAAUGGUAAUAUGUGGAUCAUUAUGAUAAACACAAGUUUAACUCAUAUUAUUACCACACUCGCCAACAGAAAGGCUUAUUGGACAUAGCUAGAAAACCACACACCAAUAACUAAAGCAAUUUACAAGCAUAUAUUCAGCCUGAUCUAGAAGAAUUAACAUCACACAAGCCACCGCUGCCUUAUUUACAAUCCCCCUUUACUCGGCAUCAGCGAAUCUGGAAAAAAAAACAAAAAACAUUGGCAUGUUACAAUGUGAGCAACUAUGGAGAAUUAUAGAAGGAAAUCAAUAAAAAGUGAGGUGUUUUUCAUACUCACCCAAGCUCUGAGAGUUUCAAAUGCGCUUCGGCAUAAUCCGCAAAGAAAGCGUCCUCGUCCUAGUCAAAGCAAAAUCACAGCAACCGAAAACGGGAUCAAAUUAACAUCAAGACAUAAAAAGAGUAUAGCUAAGCCAUAAUUUAGUGAUCAUAUUAAGUAUAAAGCACGAUCAGAUACAAACCGCGGCAUAGGUCUCAACAAGAGGACGAAAGACUGGAUCCUCCAGAAGAGCCUUGUCUGAUGGCAGCUGGAUAAGGCCUUCUUUCUCUCCACUAAAAAGUUCCCUGUUUGGGAAACAAAUCAGAUUAACUAUCUAGAAAGUGGUAUAAAUUCAACAGUGUUAUUAUUGAAGAAGAUGAAUAGGUCUUUACUUGAAAUAGGAGUUGUCAAAAAUGAGGGGGUUGGUUGUCCAGGGUCCCUCAAAUCCAGAACGUUCUUUGUGGCACCUACCCUGAAAAAAAAAUUCCCCAAACACACAAUAUUUAAAAUGCUAAACUCUACCAGUAAAUGAAAAAAAUAGAAGAGUUUUGAUGGUCUUGCAUGAACUGACCAAUGUGUGUCCACCGGAUAAUACAACAAUAUCCUUGUCACUAAGACCCAUGUGACCAAAGACAUCCCUCAAAUGAUCCGAACCUAAAAGGAACAACACAAACAAAAAUUAAGCAAAUUCAUCUUACAACCAUACACUAGUUGCAAAAUCUAGCCGCUAACUUACCUUUGGAGCCAUCCGGCAAGCGACCUUCUGGUGGCGGUUCUUGUUUGUCCUGAAAUUAGUACAUGAAUUGAACCAAUGAGUACAAGUUUAAAAUAAGAUCACAUUUUAAAACAAUCUUGCCAUGCCUGCAUUGUUUGAGAGCCGAGAAAGGCACUCUAAACAAUCAAUACCAUCACAUAUUGUAUUGUCAAUGUCAAUAACCUAAAAAACCAGCAAAUCAAUCAAGUUUCAUUAGACCAAGCUCUUUGAUCCUAUAUAAUUUCCAAUUAUUCGACAACACAAGGCUAAUUAUUAUUGUAAAAAAAAGGACAAACAAAUGUGAACUACAUGUGCUAUAGGAAAUAGGUUUUGGGCAUAUAAUAAAGGAAAUCUCGAGACAAUCACAGUAUGACAUGCCUGUAUGAACUUUCAAUUUAUAUAAUUUUAAUGAGUUACUUUUGCGUAUGUUUUAUAUUGUGAUUUGAACGACAAGAAAUGGGCCAGUAAUUGAAAAUAAGCCAAGAAGGCACUUACCGGUCUACCAGGGUGGAAAGGAACAUCAGGCCCCCCUGUAAUUUCCACAGCAACAACUCCGGCCAACUUCAAAACACAAUCAAAUAAAAACUCACAACAUCGAUCUACAAAUUUAAACUAAAAACCAAAACCAAAACCCAAGCCAAAUAUUCUCAACAAAUAUCUAUAUACCUGGUAGAAAUCUGCGUAUGAGAGAAUCGGAAACUUCUCCUUGAUCGGCUCCAAGAGCCUGACCGCAAUAUCCAGGCCAUUGUUUGCUUCAUGAGCAAGCUCCUCCGGGUGCCUUAUGGUCCCGAACGGCCCUCCUGUCUUGCUUUGCACGUCGAAGGUACCAGCCGAAUGCCAUCUGCGAUCAUCACCAAACAUCAAACACAAAGCAAACACCAACCGUUACCAACAGAUGGAGCUCUCAGAUCAUUAAGCAUAUGGCAGAGAGAGUUCUUGAUUCUUACGCUAAUCGGAGAAUUAUAGGAGCGCAGUGCUUUUCAGCGAUGUGUCCUCGGAGCUUUCUCUUGCAUUUAUCCACUGCCUUCUGAUAUUCCUCGCUCACAGUCGGGUAGCAUUUCGCCAUGGCGACAAUUGAUCUGUUCCACCCUCUGUUUGGUUAGUGAGAAAAUUAGUAUAUGAAAUUGAACAGAAGGAAAAGUUUUUUCCUUACGUGAUCGAAGUUGCUAGAAACAGUUGAAGCUUGCUUGAAAUGGUCGAAGUUAUCAGUACAAACUGCAGAGCACAGAAGCAGGGGAAAUUGUAUAUAUAGGAAGCGUAUUCUGUUUCGGGACGAAGGUUCUAGCGCUCUCGUUUUAGUCUUCGGGUGCUAAACGUACGGCUAGGAUCGUGCUUCGUCGGCGAUGUGAGGUUGCGAUGCUGUGUGCUUAUUGAGCGGGAAAUGGGACUUGUAGAGCCACGUGUCAUACGGGGAGUGGGGCAUGGUUGACUUGGCAGGGCUUCUUCUGUUGUUCAAUCCCGUGGGUUGCUACUAGAUGGCUGGUACCGUCGUUUCGAGAAGAAACUUUGGCGUUGUGGUGUAGGUGUAGGGUUUGACUAUAAUUGGAUGGAUCAUUUUAGCGAGUUCUAGAGACCCUUGUAUUUAAUUUCUGACCAAAAAGAAAAGGAGAAACCAUUGUAUCUAUAUAUAUAAAGUAAAAGACAGAGAAUGGUGAAACAUUCAAAAUAUCAGAAAAUGCUCUUGGUUAAUGCAAACAUUAAGAAUUCAAAUUAUUAAUUAAAUGAGGAUAAUAUGGUAAAUUCAUACUUUUUCAUAUUUAAAAAAAUUAAAAGAAAAAAAAAAGCAGAUAAUGAAUUCUAUUUUUAUGGAACACAACUACCCAUUAUAUUUCUAAAAUUGUAAACUAAACCAAUAAAAAUAAAUAGUAAUAGCAGUUUUAUAAUUCUCUUUAAAUGCAAAUGAGAGUUAGGAUAAAUUAUUAGGUAGUACUGUAUUAUCACGUGGCAUUUGUGAGAUGAUAAUACAGAUGAAUAAUAGGAUGAUAUUUGGACGUCAAUUACUAAGUAGAGAAGAACUAACGUUAUAUGUGAAUGGACGUUAAGUCACCCGAAACUCUUCUCACCCCUACUACCAGUUAGAGCAACUCCACCCCUUAGGGCAAAGUCUAAGGCAAGGGCAAGCAAGGGCAAGCAAGGGCUGACACUAUUUACGUGAAUAGUGUCAGCCUUGCCAUUUGUGGUUCCACCCACAAGGGCAAAGUCUAGGGCAAGUCUAGGGCAAUUACUAUUCAUUGUACUUUAUUUCCUAUUUUUUUAAUACUUUAAAUCAUUAAUUUUGAUAAUCUUUUGUAAUUAAAUUUUCGGAUAAGAUUUUCGGAUGUGAAUCUCGGUUGCCACGUGUCUUAUUCCAGAUAAAAUUUUCGGAUAUUCAUUAAUAAAAAUUAUAAUCUCAGAUUUCCGAUAAAAUUUUCACCCUCUAAAAUUGUGCCGCGUGUCCCAUGUCAGAUAAGAUUUUCAGAUAAUUUUAAAAAAUUAUAAUGUCAUAUUUCAGAUAAGAUUUCCACCCUCUAAAAUUGUGCCACGUGUCCCAUGUCUGAUAAGAUUUUCAGAUAUUUUUUUACAAAUAGUGAUCUCAGAUUUCAAAUAAGAUUUUCACCCUCUAAAAUUGUGCCACGUGUCAUCUCUAUCUUCUGAAUCCCUCUAUAUAACUACACCAUCAACACCACUCCUCUCACACCAUCUCUGAUAUAUUCCUUCAUUUCUCAGAUUUUACAAUUUCCCAUUAUACUCUCAAUGUCAAACUUCAGGAGGGUGUUGGAGAGGCAACAGAAAGAAUGGGAAGAAAUCCGGCGUAGACGUGAGGAAGAAGAUCGGGACGCGGAUGAAGAAGAGGAAGAAAUGCUUGAAGUAGCGGCGGUGUGUAUGAUGAAUCAAUCAAGCCAACACCAUCGUCGUCGUGCCCCGAAUGUGGACAGACGCAGAGAGUCUCGGGGUAAGAAUCUCUUGGAGGAUUACUUUAUCCCAAAUUCGUUAUAUCCUGCUCAUAAGUUUCGAGAGAGAUAUAGAAUGCAGCCACAUUUGUUCCAAAAAAUCAUGCAUGAUAUUUGUAAUUACGACACAUACUUCAUUCAAAAGCAUGAUGUUGUUGGAGUUUUGGGUCUUAUCCCGGAGCAAAAACUUACAGCUACUUUGCGGAUGCUUGCUUAUGGGGCAUCUGCAGAGCAGGUGGAUGAGAUUGCAAGGAUGGGAAAAUCUACUAUCCUAGAGUGCUUGGUGAGAUUCUGUGAUGCAGUGGAAAAUUUGUACACGAGGGAGUACCUUCGCAAACCCACUCCGAGGGACCUGCAAAGGCUUCUACAAAAAGGUGAGGCUCGAGGUUUCCCAGGAAUGAUCGGAAGCAUCGAUUGCAUGCAUUGGCAGUGGAAGAAUUGUCCUACUGCGUGGCAAGGAGAGUAUGGGAAUCGGAAGGGCCAAAAAAGUAUCAUUUUGGAGGCCGUAGCUUCAUUCGACACUUGAGUUUGGCAUGCCUUUUUUGGGGUUGCCGGAUCUCAGAAUGACCUCAAUGUCCUUGGUCAAUCCCCGGUGUUCGAUGAGGUAUUGCGAGGUCAUUCCCCUCAGGUCACAUACCAAAUUAACAAUACCGUAUACUCUGGGGCCUACUACCUUGCCGACGGAAUUUAUCCUAGGUGGACGACAUUCGUGAAAACAAUUCCGAAUCCCCAAUCCGAGAAGGAAAGAAGCUUUGCUUCCUUUCAAGAAGGUUACAGGAAAGACGUGGAAAGGUGUUUCGGUAUCUUGCAAGCUCGUUGGGCAAUUAUCAGGGGUGCUGCUCGGAUGCUAGACGAGGAGGUGCUGAGGAGUAUUAUGAUGACUUGCAUCAUCCUCCACAACAUGAUUGUGGAGGAUGAGUAUGACUACGAUGCUCCAGAGGUGUUUGAACCCGAUCCUAUAAACACGGCAUUGACAAGAAUAUAUGAAAGGCCGAUAGGACCAAAUGGACUACCAUUGGAGCCCGAACCGUUACUUCAGGAUGGUCGAUUCAACAACCCCAUGAUUGAUCGUUAUCAAGAAAUGCAAUCUUCAUAUGUUCACGAAAGACGUCAAGUUGACUUGAUCGAGCACUUGUGGCAGAUGAAAGGCAAUCACAAUGGAUGAAGGCUAGAUUUAUGCUUUGUUUUUAAUUAUGCUUUGUUUUUGUGUGUUGUGUUUUGUGGAAUUAUUGCGAGGUCUUUUUUAUUAUUAUGCUUUUAUGUAUGGUUUGUUUUGUGUGUUGUUUGCAAUAAAUGAAGGUUUGUUUUUAAUUAAUCUUUGUGAGGAAUGCUCAAAUGUUUUUAAUAAGUAGUCCAAUUAUAGAAUGCUUUUUUGAUUGAAUAAAAAAGAAACAAUACAACAAAUUAAAGGAUAAUACAAUAAUUUAAAAAAAAUACAACAAUUAUAAAAAAAUACAACAAUACAAUCUAAUGGUUUUCAUCAUUUAGCCAAUCCGUAUUGCUAGGUCCGUCGUCAUGGAAAAGUUUUCUUCUCAUCACAUCCCUUCGUUUAUGCUUCCAAUAGGCCUUUGUUUCAGGAGACAUAUGGCUCGUAUCCAUGGCCAUGAUUUUCAUCUCUCUUUCAUCGUCGUCUUUUUCUUUUGCAUGUUGCUUUUCAAUUGCAAAGGCUUCCAAUCGUGCCUUGUCCGCUUCAUCUCUCCUCAAGUCUCUCUCCAAUCUUAGAGAGUUGUUCUUAGCUAUUUGCUCGAAUAUUUGAACACAAUCAAUGUUCGAAGUGGCCCCUCUCUUGGCCUUUGCCGCCUUUCUCCCAAUAGGUCUCGGCGGACGUGGGAGUGGUGACUCCGUUUCCAUUGGGGAGUCUAAUGGCGAAUUGGUUGAUGGCGAUUCGUGGAGCGGCGUCUCAUGCAACACAACCGGGGGUGCGGUAGGAAUAAUUUUGAAUCUAGAACAAUCCUUGACAAUUUCCCAACAUUGGAAAUGCACAAAACUUUUUUUCCCUUGCCCCGUGGCACCGAACCACAUUUGUGCUUGUAUGAUCUAUUCAAAAUAAAUAAUUGGAAGUGCAUUAAAAAAAUAUACAAUGCAAGAAAUUAUAAACUAUUUUGAAAUGCAAGAAUAAAAUUGAUUAUGUAAAUAAAUAUAGACAAAUUGAAAAUGCAAAAACAAAAAUAAAGAUUAUGCAUGAAAUUAUAAACUAUUUUGAAAUGCAAGAAUAAAAUUGAUUAUGUAAAUAAAUAAAGCCAAUUAGGAAAUGCAAAAAUAAAAUAAACAUUGUGCAACAAAAAAGAAAUAGAAUAUGCAAUAAAAAAAAGUUACAUUAAAUUGAUUAAAAUGGCAAUUAAAAAUAUUUUACCUCAUCGGAAAGAUUCGCACCGCUCCGAAUGUUCUCCUUUGCUUUUGUCAAGGCAUUUCUCCAUUUCCCUAACUCUUUGUUUAGAAUUUUCCAUCUACUAGACAAAGCCAUUUCGGUCCGAAUGGAACCCGAUCUUUGACAAAAUUCUCCAUGAAUUUUGCUCUACAUAUGAUGGAACUUCAUCUCAUUGCCCGUGAUAGGGUCAUGACUAACGUUCAACCAAGACUCGCACAACGCAAUAUCUUCCUGAGUUGACCACGAGCCUCCGAUUUCAACAGAAGAUGCCAUUUGUUUAUUUUCUACAAAUGGAAAGUAGUACAAAAAUGUGAGUGGAUAGUAAAAAAUAUUGGAAGGAGAAGAGUUUGUAUGGAAUUGGUGUGGAAAGUGGAAAAUAUGAGUAGAGAGUAAAAAAUAUUGGAAGGAGAUGAGUUUGUAUGAAGAUUUGGUGUGAAAAAUGAAUUAUGUGAGUCGAGAGUAGAAAAUAUUGUAUGGAGAAGAAAUUGUAUGAAGAUUUGGUGUUGAAAGUAGAUAAAAUGGUUAGGUAUUUAUAGGGAAAAAAUACAUACAUUUUUGGUUUUUUUUUAAAAAAAAAUUUCAGAAUUUUUUCGAAUUUUUUACCGUAGGAUUUCUGAAAAAAAAUCCAAUCGGAGCCACCCGGUGCCGACAUGUGGCAUGUAACCGUUGGUGGUGACGUCACGACGACGUCAGCGCACUUCAGUUAAAUUUUUAAAAAUUUGAAUUUACUGCGCUGACGUCACCUGAACUCGGGCUCGAGCCCAAUCGAUUUUCGCCCUUGGGCCUGCCCGGGCUCGUGGGACCCGCAACUUGCCCGGGCUGCUUUGCGCGCGCUGGAGCUGGACUUGGGCUGAUUUUUGCCUUUUGCCUGGGCCAACCCCUGGCGCUGUACAUGCUCUUAGCACAUGCCUUGUGGUUAGGAUAGUGUGCCCGACUGGCCCAUUGCACCUAAGUUCGAUCAUUUUUUCCAUACAUUAAACUAAUUUAGAAUGUUGCUCUUGUGAAAAUAGGAAAGAGAAAAAAAGCCCAAUUUAGAGCAAUUUUAAUUGUGGGCUCGAAACCCAACUUGUGAUAUGUGUACAAACGCAAAGCCAAGCCCAAAAGUAUUGGUUGUUCGCGGUUAGGGCAAACAUGUAAAAACGCGUGGUGGUAUUGAAAUUAGCGCGAAGUCCAAGGGCGUUAGGUGACACGUCAUAAAGUCCCAGUGACACAGGUCAUGAGACGCGCAAAAAGGCCACCAAAAAACGCUCGUUUCCACUUUGGCCUACACAUCCAAACCCUCAAGCCUUGUUUUUCUCUCUCUAUUUCGUCGUGCUUUAUCCUAUCCAGGGUUUCAUCUCCACACUCUAUUCGGUGCUUCUCUCUCCUCCUCCAUCGCACACUGUAAGUCCUCUCUCAAAUACCUCAUGAGCAGAAUUGUUUGGAUAAUUUUUUAAUUUUGCAUAAUACAAUUGCAAUGCCAAUGCGCUAUGAUUUAGGUCUGCGGGUGCAUCGCUGUGGCGUUGUUUGUUUCUCAGGAAAAUCAUGAGUGACAAGGGAGAAAAAACGUGUCCAAUUUGCGCUGAGGAGAUGGAUUUUACGGAUCAGCAGCUGAAGCCGUGCAAAUGUGGUUACGAGGUCUGAACGAACCAACACUAGCCUUGUUUACUUUGUCGUUUUGUUUGUUUGUGAUUUCUGCUCUUGUGGCCAUCAUAAAUUCAUUGUUUCUGCUGCUGCAUCCUGUGUGAAUGUGACAAUGUGUGUAGUUAGUCGCCCAUUUAAGUGUAAAAACCUUUGAUAUAGAAAAUUGGAUAGAAGGAUGUGAAAAUGUGAUGACAUUGUAAUUCAUAUAAAUGGGGGUAAGUUUUUUUUUGGGGGGUUAUUUUUCCAUGGUAACUGUUCAAAUUUUUUGGUAGUUCUCUGUGAGCUUACUCUUUGUGCCCUGCUUGAUCCCCAUUUACCGUCACAGGUGUGUGUUUGGUGUUGGCAUCACAUUAUGGAAAUGGCAGAGAAGGAUGGAAAGGAGGGUCGUUGUCCAGUGUGCCGUACAACUUAUGACAAAGAAAAAAUUGUCGGAGUGGCAGCAAAUUGUCAAAAGUUGGUACAGUUAUUGGAGGAGUUUCUUGUUAAUGUAUAACAUUGUGUGACAAGUUGAGGAUUAACUUUUCCCCUCCUUGAACAGGUUGGUGGCUGAUAUUAAUCUGAAGCGGAAACAGAAAAAGCUCAAGGGACCUGAAGCAAAGAAGCAACUUACUGAUGUUAGAGUUCUCCAACGGACCCUAGUAUAUGUGAUUGGAUUACCUCUUAACCUUGCAAAUGAAGACGUGAGUAGCUAGUGUGUUACUGUGUGUCUCAUUUUUGUUAGGUAUCUAAGUGGAACAUAGUGCACAAAUAAUCUGAUGUUUUAUGGAACUUAUAUAAAUCUGUACUUAUAUUGAUGUAGAUUCUGAAAUAUGUUUUUGUGGGGUUUUACUAGCUUCUUAAGCGCAGGGAGUAUUUUGGCCAGUAUGGAAAGGUUUUGAAGGUUUCUGUUUCUCGUACAGCAAAUGGGGUUAUUCAACAGUCUCCAAACAACGGUUGUUGUGUGUAAGCUGGCUUACCGCUUUCAGUGUCUUAAGUUUAAACCUGCUUGAUGUGGAAUGCACAGUAUUUGGUUCACAUUUUCUUUUGUGCCUAUGUUUACUAGUCAUUAAUGAUCCCUAUUUUUACGUAAUUAUAUGCCAUUUACAAUUUUGAUUGGGCUAUAGGUGUCUUUCAAGGCUGUAAAUGUUUGUCUCUUUAUUAGGCAUGUUAGCUGGUUAUCAAGGCUAUAUAUUUAUUGUUGUUGUUGUUGUUUUUUUUUUUUUUUGGUUUUUUUGUUUUGUUUUUGGGGUAAUAAUGGACCAUGGUUCCAUUCCUUGUAUUAGGUAUAUAUCAUACACAAAGGAAUAUGAAGCAGCUCGAUGUAUUCAAUCAGUACACAGUUUUAUGUUAGAUGGUAAAUGCUUGAGGUAAGCCUGCCUUGGUAUCUAUUAGGAUUAUAGUGCCUUGAUUGCAGUUUUGUGACUAUGAGUUUUGCAUUUUCAGGGCAUGUUUUGGAACCACAAAGUACUGCCAUGCGUGGUUGAAAAAUGUAGUAAGUACUUAACUUAUUUCAUCUGGGCGAGUUCUUUGCACAAGAAAAACUUAGUUUUGUCAUCACUAAGAAGAAUUCUUUCGCUGGUUCAGCCUUGCAACAAUCCAGAUUGUUGGUAUUUGCAUGAUUUUGGCUCUCAGGAAGAUAGUUUUACCAAGGAUGGAUUAGUUUCAGCCUUUGAAAGGUAUAUAAAAGAAGCAAUCUGACAUGCCUUCUGUGAAUUUGAAAUAUGCAUUAAAUGUUUUUUUGUUUUUUUUUUUAAAAGAAAAAAACUGUUUGGGCAAUCUCACUUGUGACUUGGCCUUUAUCGCUUUGGUAAAUAUCAUAUUGUAGUUUAUAUCUUAAACUCUACUGUUUCGCAGGAGUAAAGAUCAUCAAAAUAUUGGUGUUACAAAUAAUCUGCAUCGGCGUCCGGGGAAAGGUUUACCUCCCCCGAUGGAUGAGUGUAGCAAAUGUGAAAGAUCAACAGAAGCUAAACCACUUGUUAAUCAACCGUCAGAUGUAAGGCUCUGCACAUGUUUUGGUUUAUUUGCUUAGGAUAGAUAAUUAUACUAUAGUGGCAGAAAGGUGCAAGGUAAUUUAAAAUCAAAUGAACGAUGAUCAUUGAGAUGGAAGUGUUAUAGUAAAUAAAAUGCAUGAUUUAUGCAGAUAAGCUCUGGAUGUUAUCUAUGCAGUGCACUUCAGUUAUGUUUAACCUUUUAUUUAUCUUCUUUCAACAGAUUGCUGGGAAUGUGGUUAAGAGUUCUUGUGCAGAUUCUGACUUUAGAAGAUCUAUUCCUGCAAGAGCACCUUGGUAUCUAAUUUUAUGAUCUGUGGUUUCAUGCUUUUGAUUGUGUGUUCGAUAACUAAUGUCAUCUUGGUUUCUCUAUCAGGGUCAUGGAAGUCUCCUCUAGUGUGCCCACAGCAACAAGUUCUCCAGGUUCCGAAAGGCUACCCCAUCAAAAUCCUGAGACAUCUAAUGAUCUUCAUCCCCUUUCAUCCGAAGUUGUUAGGAAUGAAAGUUCUACCCGCAAUGUAAGAUCUAUUAUAUCUGCAGAAGGCUGUAAAGGGCAUUUUAAUGGUUUGGAUCCACUGGUACUGAAUGAACAGAAUAUCAACAAUAAUGGUCAAGUAGCUGUAUCAAAUACAACUUCAGAAGCUCUAGUAGAUAGAACUUCCAUAAAAGACUUAGGUUGUCUAUUACCAAACAAUGGUAUUGGUCGAGGUAUUAGAGCAACAUCCACUGACUUAUCAAGCAACAAAAACAUAUGCUAUCCUUCAUCAAACUUGUCAAAUAAAUCCGUUGAUAACAAAGGCAAUAGCAUCAGUGAAUUUGAUAGGACAGUUGAACCUACCAGUGUGUUACCCGAGAUGGGAUCAGGCAAGUACUUUGGAGGGUCUGACACCAGUAAGCCCAGUAUUGACUGCAGUCUUGCUUACGAUAUAGGAGAGAGUGGCAUAAUCUCAAAUAUUUUGGCAAUGGACUUGGAUGCAUCUGAAGGCUCUCUAUCUCCUUUUCACAAUCUCAUUAAGUUGUUGGGUGAAACUGAUAAAGAUUGCAGUCUCCUGAAAGUACAAAGUUCAAGAAAGCUUCUUGAUAAAAAGCAGUCCAGGUUCUCAUUUGCCCAACAAGAGGACUCUUGCGAUAAUGUAUGGCAAGCAUCAAAUGACUACUCUGCAUUAUCUGAUUUGAUGGACAAGAAGGGUUCCUUCGUAGAUCUUGAGUCUAAUAAAUUUCUCAGGAUUCCUUCAUAUGCGUCUUCUAAAGUUCCAGGUUUGUAACUUUUAAUAAGUUAUUGUAAUUAUGUUUUCUCUGUCUGGCUCUUUUUUCACUCUUCACUUGUUUAUUUGUUAUUGGGUAAACAGCAGGUAGAAUCUGCUUUUUUGUAGUUCAUGAUUUGUCAUUUCUCUUGAAUCUUGAUCGCAAAUUUUCACUAGGCAUAGCCUUUUGUGGUGCUUUAUUGUUGAAAGUUUACUCUCACUCAGUAUCUUUUAGGUUCUCCUUUUUUGUGUUAGCAUAUAUGAAUCUAUAAAUUAACUUCUUUUGUCCAUUGCUCUGACAUUUUCUGACAGUUACAGAAGCUCCUAGUUCAGUCCCGCCAGGAUUUUCAGUGCCAAGCAGAGCACCACCUCCAGGGUUUCCAUCUCAUUUGAGCAGCAGGAGGGUGAACCAAGCUUUUGACAGUUCUGGUAUGUUGUCUCUUACUUGUGUUGUUUUGUGGGUUUUCUUUUGUAGACUUAUUCUAAGAGUACUGCUUGUGCCCUCCAGUGAAUCAUUUGUUGCAACCAUCUUGUAUUUCAACUGGUAAUUCUGGCAACACAGGGGAUGUUAAGAAUAAUGGUCAGGCAAUUCUGGAAGUUGGUGAAGGAAUAUUGGCGAGAGGGUUGAGUAGGAGAGCAACUUUAUCUCAGUUUAAUACUUCUGAGCCUGAUGCAAGGCGCCAUUUGAUGAGGCAGCAGACUUCUACACAGCAGAACUUAGGAUUUCAAGACCACUUCAGUACUAGGUACUCUUCCCUAAAUGAUGCACAUAGAAUUUCUCCACAGCAUCCAGAUCAAUUCCAGCCCAACAAUACAUCUUCAUUUGUACAGUCCAGCACUCAACAACUCAGUGACAUGCAUGUAUCAAACAGUCAUUGGGCUCAAUGGAAUGAGGUCAGGAGUGUGAGCGAUCUUGGUAUAUCAGAUCUACUGAGAAAUGAUAGAUUGGGAUUUACCAACCUCAUUCCCUGUUAUGAGAAUAUGAAGUCUCCAGCAGGUUGCUUCAGCCAUCUAAGCAACAGAGCAUUUGAAAUGUGAGUUUUUAUGUAGCUGGAGUUUCUCUUUCGUGCUUGACUGGGGGUCAAGCGUGACUGAGUGGAUUGCUCUUUUGAUGCUAAUUUUCCCUUUUGAAGUACCUUCACCUUCUGAGUUAUAUCCACAGUUUAUUAGUAUCACCUAGUAAGGAUCAACCUUUGUCUUUCUCUUUGUCGGAAAUUGGUUUUUCUUGAAAAGACGAAGUGAUAGGUUCAAGGGUUACUGCAUUCUCACAGAAUGGAAAUUGAGUGAGGGAAUUUUAUGCAUUCAUUUGCUAGUGAGAGGCCUUGAGUAUCGACAUUCCCUGUCUGUGUGGUAAGUGUCAAUGCAGUGACUAUAACUCCAUAUAGUGGAGGUACAUGUUCUCGAGGGAGGCCUGUUUUCACACUUUCUUGAGUGGAAAAAUAUAAGGAUUUCGAUAUGCUAUGAUGGGGGUAUGAGGGAACACAGAUGCGCCUAUACAAUACAACCAUUCUUCUAAAAGCAAGGUGAGAUACAUACAACACAGAUAUUGGAACACAUAAUGUCUAUUUUCUGUAUUUACGGUAAUCAGAUUUUGAAUAUAAACUACUAUAGUCAAAUCAUACAAAAUUCAUAACUACAUAGUAAACUUUCCCUGUACCUAUGGCUAUAUCUAGUCUGUGGAAAGAAGGUUGUAUAUUAAAUAUUAAUGCAUGCAUGAGAUCUAUCCAAAUCUAUCAACAAAAAUCAGAAUACGAUCCAAAUGUUGGGAAAUAUCUUUCUCACUGUCAUAAACUUGUCUUGCUUUCUUUAUUGUGAACAAAUUAAAGUUUGCAUAAAGUUCUUCACUAGUGUAAUGUUUUAUUUGUUUGUCUUGUUUUCUCUAUGCAGGUAGACUUGAGGAAAGUGGUUCUGUCGUGUUUGGUUGACCUAAUGGAUGCAUCUAAUGUUACCCAAUAUCGACCUCUGUUAAUGUUUUAGAACUCUCACCAGUGAUCAAGUGUAUAAUGACAAUGAAUGAAAUGCUAAAUUGAAAGUCAAGUCGGUGUUAAUGACGUUGCUGGAUGUUGUUUACGGAACUUCUUUUGGUUGUCCAUAAAGGUAUGAAUUUUUUUAAGAAAUUAACUGAAAAGGGAUGGAGAUUCAAUGAGCACCCAUUUUUAUGUUUAUCAUAGGUGCCAUUACAUGUGCAAAGUUGAAGGAACUUUAAAAAUGGCACCAUUGCAUGCCUUUGCCUGAGGCAUUAAAGGUCAGAUUAGGCAAUUAGGGGUGCAUUGUCUUCUUACUUGCAUGAUUCAAGCCACUGUAGUUCUUCUUUUGGUGAAAGAUUGUUUUUAAAUUCUCGUGUGGUUAGGUUGCUUUUGUAGGGUCGGAACAGGGCUCCGCAGUCUUAAUCAGUUCACCUUUUCUAGGUCCUUUGGGUACCAGAACGUGCAUGCCUAUUUGGUAUAUAUAAAAUUUUCUGAUUUAUCAACCAAAUGGAACCCCUACAAAGAGAUUGAACUUUGAACUUAGAAGAAUGGAGAAGCAUCACAUGGCAAUCUGUUUUAGCCCAACUCAACUCAACCACAAUAAUUAUCGAACAGUCAUUAAUUAGUGCUUUAGAACUGAAAGCUCGUGAGAACAGAAGCUUUUGAAGCCCUAGCUAGCUAGACCUUUCUCAACUCUCAAGGGUGUGGUCUGAUGGACGUCCUCAUGAACUGUUGCUUCAAUAAUUUGAACUGGCCUCUCUCUCUCUCUCUCUCUCUAGACAAUAGUAUCCAUCCGGCCGCAUGCAAAUUAGUUCACUAUUGGCAUCCCUGUUUGCUUAUAAAAAGUGAAGUCUCUUCUCUUGCACAGAGAGAGAGAGAGAGAGUAAAUAAGAAUGAUCGAAGGGUAAAAAAUCUCACUCUAUAAUUCUGGCAGAUACACAGUGAAGAUUAGAAUGGUAGCCUAGGUUGGCAGACAAGCAGGCAGGACUUUGACUGUGACUCAUCAACCUUAUCAUCCCCUGAAGAUUCCAUCACAUACAGUUCAAAAAGGUACCCCCAAAAAUCAAAAUAUGAGCCUGAGCUGUUUUGUGUUGUAUUCUAGUGUGUAUUAUUGUGAAAGGGAAACCUAGGAACCCAGGUUUAUUUACAUGCAAUGCAAUGCAAUGCAAUGCAAGAGAGGGAGAGAGAGAGAGAGAGAGAGAGAGAGAGAGAGAGAGAGGAUCAUGAACAUGCCCAACGCCAGUUGACUGGACCACUCUAUAUGUACAUAGUCUACUUUAGAGUAGUAAAACAGCAAAUCAGUAAAAUAGUAAAAGUAGUUGUACUCCUCUGCACACUCUCGCUCUUUCAUUUCAAAUAGUUGCGUGGCAUUGGCGUGUACUUACUUGAUGCAUUCCAAACACACAAGCUCUGUGUUUUCUGGUGUGUGUUUGUGAGGGAGAGGAAUAUACGGUAAAGUUGGGUUUGACCGUGGAUCUUCUCAUUUGUUUCUAAGUAAGAUAUAGACUCGUGGGAAAGAUAAUAUAUUAUACUGUCGAAUUAAUUGAUAAAAUAUUUAUGUUGUCUGUAAAUUUAAACCAUAAAUUAAGUUGAUUCUUAUUUGAAUCAUUAAAUGUGUGGCCUAAAUUCAAUCGAACUUUAUAACAUCAUUACACUUGUAAUCUAUUUAGAUCAAAUUUAUUGAACAUGUAACAAAAUAUACCCUCAUUCUCUUCUUGCAUUUAUCAACUCAAGAAACCAAAUAUCCUUUGUCAAUUUAGUUGAGAAACCAAAUGUAACAAUAUCAUCAGUGGUAAUGGUGAGAAAAUCCUGGCUAGCAUUAUCGAAUUCAGUUUGCCAAAAUAAGAAUUUAUUUGGCACAUUAAAUAAUGUGACAAGAUAACAUUAUUCAUCACAUUGAUUAAUUAAAUACACAUACACUGAGUGAAAAGGAAAUUCCCAAAAGAAGGAUUUGAGUUAUAAUUAAGUUUCAGUAGUGAUUUAAUUUGGUGUAAAUGUUUGUGCACAAGCCAUGCAUAUGCAUAAACAGUGCCAUUGAAAGGAAAGUAAAUCUUCCAACCGCCCAUGCAGCAAAUAAAUGCAGAGAGAGAGAGAUUAAAUACACAUACACUGUGAGUGAAAAAUGACUAUCACCUGUUAGUUUGAAUUUAAAUUUUAUACAUAGAUUUCAAAAUUAAUAGGUUAAUAUCUAAAAAAUAGAAAUUAUAAGAGCCUAUAUUAGACCAGCCCGAGAAGCGAAAACGCCUUAAACCCUAUGAGCAGAGAAGUAAAAAGAGGCUUGAGUCAGUGACAGAAUGAAAGGGGGGCAUCCUAAAAAUGAUAGACAAAACGGAGAGAGAGAGCAUUGAAUUGUUUUGAAAGAGUUUGGUUGAAUAACCAAAGUGGAAGGAAACUGACUAUAUAUGAACACACUUCUGCAAAUCACGAGGUCAUGCUCUGCCCCCAUAAACAGAAAUCUUGUAUCUAAGUAUAUAUGACAUGCAUUCACACUGAGACAGGCACACAGCUGUGAACUGCCCAAUAAAGCUAUCAGAUUACAUCAGGUUGUACCAAACGCAACACUAGGAGGAGGAACAUAGCAGUUAUAGCCCACACCACAUCCUCCCUAUAUAAUAAUAUACCCUACAAGUUUCUAGUGUGAAGAGAGAGAGAGAGAGAGAGAGAGAGAGAGAGAGAGAGAGAGAGAAACAUAGUUAGGUUAAGUUCUUUUUUAAAAAAAAAUUAUAAAACUUUGGGUUUUAUAACAUACUGUUUUUCUCAUCAUUCUUAUUGGUGGGGAGGAUUACCACCAAGUCAAUUGUCGUUUGAUAAGUUUAAUUUUUUAGAUAUGUGUAAUAUGUAGGUUAAAUAACAUUCGUAGACAUGCGUUAAGUCAGUUAGUCAAAAUAAUGAGUUCAUCUUCUUACACCUAAUUUCGAAUUUUCCUCCAAUAAACUUGAUUAAUUUUAGACUAUAAAUGAAGAAUCACAUUUCGUCAAAUGACAAUUAACAAAGUGAUAUAAUGCUCCAUAUGGGUUUUAAAUUUUGUGUACAAAUUCACUGGGUAACCUUCUACUCGAAAACAUAGGAAAAAGUGUUUGUAGAAUCUUAAGUACAAUUUGUAUGUGAAAAUGAUUAAAAAAAAGUGCAAAAGGUAAGUAUGAAAUGGUAAGGUACGCUGAAAAGGCUGGAGGUACCUGGCCUGAAUGGUUUUACUUUGGAGACGUAUGAAAGUACAAACGGGCUUUUCACGCUGCUCAUAAAUCACAAUGCAGAUACACAAAAUUACAAAUAUUAUUAUUUUAUCAUUUACAGACAGGUCGACGACCCUCUUUCUCCAUCUUUGAUCCUUUUCAAAUUUGCAGUGUAUGCAGUGCAGUGUGUAACAAGUACCUGCUUCAGCCUGAAAGCCGAGGAUUGCGGAUCCUUACAUUGCUACUUUUCCUUUACAGUCUGCAGACAUACACGUAGCUAGCUAGCUCCAACCCCAACUUGUCCACGUGUCCUCCAUUUGGCAACCAAAGAACAACCCACAAUGCCUAAAACUAAACACAACAUAGGGAAAGUUUUUUUUUAUUUUUCCAAAUAUAUAUUUCCUUUUCUAUGUUCUUUACAAAUCUGAAAAUUUGCAUUGCUGGAAGUUGUUUUGUUUUGUUCUAGCUUAGUGCUUGCUAGCAGAGCAGGUCAAGCUUUAUGUUACCAAUCUGGGAAUCAGAAAUAAGAUACCAUUCAUUUCACGCUAAAGUACAAACUCUUCAGCAGUAAAAAGAAAAGGCAUGUGACAUUGAACUGUUUUAAGCUUCCAAAUCAGAUUUUGGUCCACCUGCUUUUCAGCACCCCUCAAAGGAAGGAGGCAUGCAAAAGAAUGUGACCACAAGUCAGAAGAAGGCAAAACUACCUCAAUUUUUCCAUGCCUCUAGACCAAGAUCCUCAAGUUUCAUAAGCUUUACAUGAUCAUAGCAAAACAAAUUUCAUUACCAAUCUUUUUCUACUCGUCCCGUGACUACAUUCUACACUAAAAACACUAAAAUACUAAUGUGUCGUGGUUUAUAUCCUAUCUGGUUCUGGUUUUCAGCUCCUGCAAUAGAAACCGGGUAUGUUGUUGGUGACUGUCGAUGGUGAAAAAUGGUGGUGGAGAAUAGUUGUGUUAGGAAAAUGAAGUUGAGUGACAGCAGCUGGUGGUGAAGUGGCUGUUGAAGAAGGGAAUCCUGAUGAUGCUGCAGCAGAGAAGAGUGGCAUUGGAGUUGCUCCACCAUUAAGGCCUUGGAGUUGCCAUGCCCAAUUUGGAAAGGAGUUAACAUCCAUUCUCUUUUCCGUUGCUCUUUCCUGAAAAUAUAAAAGAAGUCGAAUUGUUAACAAACGCAGCAAAACUAGAAUUGUCAGUGAUUGGUGAUAAACAGGAAAUAAACCCCCUUUGCAAUCAAAGAAUUUGUUCAUAUUAGGGAAGCCUACAGUGCUUCUUCCAAGGGUUAAGAAAGCAAGGACCAAUAGGGAAUAUCGAAUGUAAAAAACAAGGAGAUUCUUUGUAAAUUGGAUAGAAGAUUUAACAUAAAAAAUUGAAGUGUACACCAAUAACACAAUCAAAUGAAAACAUUGCAAAGGUCAAGAAGAAAAUACUUCAGGCAGAAAAAUUAAGGUUUGAUAACUUCUUAUAAUAAAUUAUGAUAGUGACUAGAAGUGAAUGUAAAUUACCAUUUGGAUGGGAAAGAAACUGGAAUUUAUGUUGCUCAUUAUAGGAGGCUCCUCAGACGCCACCAUUGAGCCAUGAGACAGUUGAGCCCUCAUAGGUGCUGGAGCACAGUUCUCAUUCUGUAAACAGAACAAAAUGCUUUAAAGGGAGUAGCUUAAGUUGCAAAGGACUUCUGUACAAUAGCAAAGGUGAAUUCAGCUGAGUGGGGCUUUCAAAAGUUGAUCUCAACAUUACCCUUGUUCUCAUGUGAAUAGGAAUAUCAUCGCAGCCUAGCUGAACAGGGAAGCUGCUCAAAUUGCUGUUGUUCUUUUGGAGCUCAGAAACCAAAGGGGGAGCAAUUCCCAAGUUCAGAUCAAGACUUUUGUCACUGCCUGUACCAAGAAGGUUGUAGAUAGAUGAUGUAUUGGUAGAAAUAAAAGAAUAGUUCAAUUUUUUUUUUGCCCAACUAAAUUGACAAAGGAUUACACACAAAGAUCUUACAAAAAUGGAUUCUCUAACAACAAUAUACCUCCAUUGUGGGCCUCAGACAUUAUCUGACCAUCAUAUGAGUUUGGCUCAAAGUUGGUGACUGCUUCUCUUCCAUUGCAUUUGAUGGCAGCCUUGUCAUAUGCCCUGAUUUCAAAGAACAACACUAUACUGACUUAAAUGAAUCCCAUGGUCAGUAAGAUCUCAAAGUUUAGAUAUCGAGUAAAACGGUGCCUAUAUAAUAUCGUAAAGACCUUGCAGCUUCAAUCUCGCUAUCAAAUAGGCCCAGGUAUAUAUACCUGCAGGCAAGCAAUGAAAUACCAUAACCAAUGAAAACCAAUUUCUCAAUUCAUCCGAACAAUUUACUUUACAAAAACGAAGUCCCAACUAUUUAUUUGGUCCUUGCUGAACACAAUUCUUUGUAUUGUUCCCUUGUUCACUUAUCAUAAUCACUUAGACCACACAUAAAUGAAUACUCAAAAUCCAUAUUCAAACACAUUGACACAUAAAAUAAUGACAGUAAAACAGAAAGGAGUUCUUACUUCUUGCCCAGAAACUGGCCCAUUCGAGCUUCCCAGCGGCCACAUUUGUGCAAAGUGACUCCCCUGUAUUUUGAGCUUCCUCUAGAGAAUCCGGUGCUCUGGCGACGCAGGAUAUGCACAAACUCUUCCUUUGUAAAAUUGCUCAUCUGCGUCACAGUCAAAUUCAACCCCAGAACGAAAUAAGACAAUGCCAGGAAAAAUCUUCACCAUAUUGUAUGCAUAACACACUCUGAAACCGACCUGCUUAAUAUCGUCUUCAUAAUCACUGACAUUGAAAUUAAUAUCAGCUUCAGUUCCACGGAACUUGAUCGCAGCUCGAUCAUAUGCCCUAAGUUCAUGUUACCAAACACCCACAAAUACCCGAAACGUUAAAAGAAAAAAACAUGCACUAAAUUUUUUAUUAAAAAAAUAUUUAUAUCAUCAAACAAUAGGAGUCUUAUUUCUUACCUAGCUGCAGCAUGGGCAGUGUCAAAUCCUCCUAAAAUUUCAGAACAAUAAACAAAAGACAAAAAGAAAAAUAUAAUCAGCCACAAAAAGAAAAAAGAAAAAAAAAAGGACUAAGCGGUGGGUUUUGAUUUUUCUUACCCAAGUACACCUGUUUCCCGCAAUCCCUACACAAAAAAGAAGUGAGAGAGCUCAAAUUCAUGCCACAAUCAAAAUAUCCAAACAGAGUGUUAAUGGUGUUAUCACCGUAGCCAAACACUAACCAAAUAUGAGAUUCCCAUCUCCCGGUUCUCCGAUAGAACGUAACGCCCCGAUACUGAGAGCUCCGAGACCUGGGUCCUCUCCGGCUCUUCUUCACUUUAUGCUGCAGGGGCACGAUCUGCUCCGCAGGAGCAUAGUAGCUCGGCUCCACCUCCAAUCCGGAAUUGGACGAUAGUCCCAGCCACUGCUUUCUCGAAGACGAUGACGACGAAGAAGAAGAGCGUACGGAUUGCGCGAGCGGGAAGAGCUGGAUGGUCCGAGCAUCACAGUGAGCGUUGUCGUCUGCAGCGACGUCGUUUGGGGAGAGGAAGUUGAGGUCUUCGUCGUCGCCGGUGGCAGUGAGGUUGGAGGAGGAGUUGAAGCUGGCUGAGCUCUGGAUUGGGGAGGUGGUAGCGGGAAGGUGAAGAAGGUUGUUGUCGGAGCUGGAGACGACGUCGUUGCAGACGAAGCUGAGGUUGAGAUCUAGCAUUGCUUUUGUGUAAAGAUUUGGGCUUUGUUUGGGUGGCGUGGUGGGUUCGGUGUUUGGGACGUGAAUUCAGAGAGAGAGCAAUGGCAGUGGGAAAAUGGUGAGAGAAAAUGAUGAGAGUGGAAAAAGCAUCUUCAUUUCGAGAGCUUUGCUUUGUUUUGUACGUGUUUGUUAAAAGGAUUGAGAGAGACGAGAGAGGAGGAGAUGUGGUUGAAAUUGAAGUUGGUUCUGGAAGCGCCGGCGUAAGCGAAUCAUAGUGAGGCCGGCUUUGUGAGUCUCUUCAUUCAUGCAAACCCACCGAAAUUAAGAAGUUAAUAAAGUUGUUAGAGAGAGAGAGAGAGAGAGAGAGAGAGAGAGUUGUUUGUUAUGGAGCAAAAGAAAAAGGGAUUAAAAUGGAAGAUAAAUUCACUACACACAUUUGGCCCACUAUUCAAUAAUUUCAAUCUUGUUAGAAAAUUUUACACAAUUUAUCACAAAACUGUUAAUUUGGAUAAUUAACAAAAGCGUAUUUAAUUAUUGAUUGUAAAUGUAGGUGAGUGUUACGGUGAAGUUCGUAUAUGUCGGUCUAAUUCUGAAGUCCAUAUACAUCUACGAUCAACAAUCAAUCACACACACAAAUUUCUAAUUGAUUAAGUGAAUUCAUAUUUUGGUACCUAGUAGUUUAAUUUAACAACAUAUAAGAUACUUGAUAAGAGAACAUUCAUUCAUGAACUUUGUAAUAUUUGGCACCUACUUCUUUAUAGAGUGAAUGAAUAAGAAGUUGUAGGGUUUGAUGGUGGGCUGAGAGAGAGUGGGGGGUUCAAUCAGUCAGAGAGCGGUGGGAAUAUGGGGGUGUGUGUAUGUGUCACAUCUCAAAUGUGGGUGACGAGACCAUUCCCUGGUUCAUAUUGCCCCCUACCCUCCACCCUCUCAUCUGGCUGACACAUAGCCACUUAGCCAUAGCCAUCAACAUUUAUCAAUAAAGAUAAUCAAUUUUUAUGAUUUGUUUUGUUGGGAAAAAUUGGCACACCCUUACCUUUGAAACUCUCAAUUAGACAAACUUGUCAAUUUCUGUUCUUUUACCUUUUCCUUUUCCUUUUGAUGUUGCUUAGGAUAUGACAGCAUAUAUUAUAAGAGUUAAUCACACCAAGCAUUUGAGACAAUGUGAUAAUAGGAACAUCACAUUUUAAUAAGAGUGAGAUUAUUUGUAUUAGUGAACUCCACUUCUUUACGAGAAGCGGUUACUCUCAGUAUAAAUGUAUCACAACUUUAUUAAAUUAUUAAUGAUAUCAACAAUGUGAUACAUAAAUUGGUCAUGUAGAAUGUUACUCAAUAUAUUACUAAAACAAUUACUAUAUGUAUAUAUUACUAAAACAAUCUGCAAGUCCAAGUUGGCCUGUGGCAGAAUCCGUACACGUCUUCCUUAAGUACCCAAAAACGACAGAAGCCGAAAUUAGGUAGACCCAACGCAACUGGGCCCAUUGCCUGCCCAAAAUGACAAUUCUUCUUCUUCUUCUUCUUUUUUUUUUUUGGUCUUAAUGACAACUCUUCUUUUAUAAAAUACAAGAAUAUGUAUUUAAAAUAUUAUUUAUUUCUGCCCUCAUGUGACUCGGUGUCGGUACCGUAAGACACAGCUACCUCUCAUUCCUCGUCGUUUAACUCGUUAUAUCAAAAAGAGCAAAACACCCGACGUGUCCUAAACCGUCGGAGAAACAGACAAAAGAAAAAACGAAUGACACAAUCCGUUACCGUUAGUUUUAAACCCUAGCAAAGCCUCAUCGUUAACCACUCAACAUGUGUUUUGAUGAUAACCGCGUUUUCUCGAUACGUUUUUAAUUUCAUACUGUGCACUGCUUGCGCUUAACUUGUACAAAAAGAGUGUCCAAAAAUUCAGUCGGAAGAUAUGUAUGUGUGUGUGUAUUUUGUUUUUUCUUCUAAUCUUAGCUGGCAUGGCAGCCAUACAAGUUUAUUGAGGUGGGUUGGGGGUUGACUGGGCUGGCAAGUUGAGUUGGUUCAUUUUCAUGGGAUAUAUAGCCCAUGCAAAUUUUGUUCUAUAACAUAAAAUUCUGUUAUUAAAUCGAAGUUACUUGUAAUAAGUUUAUGUUAAUUGGUUACAUUAGACUUCGUCUGCCGUUUAUAUUUUACUUUUCAGUGAAUCAUUGCAUUGUGAUGUGGUAUUUUUCUUCUAAUUUGGAUGAAUACAAUAUAAGAAUUACGAAACAAUAUGAAAAAACUCGGUGUAUCGAAAAAAUGUUAACUCAUACUAAAGAAUUGAAUAUGCGCCCAUGUUUACAAAUUACAAGGGUUUCUUGAUGUAUACAUGGUCAGCGGUGACAUUUUCAACUUUUCAAUAGACAAUUUAACAACAUAAUAUAUAUAAGUAUUCUACCAAACUGUGUUGGAUUCCCUUUUAAAUAUGAGGUGUUCAAAUUCACAGUUUGACAAAACACGAAUUGUUGCAUUGCUAGCCUGUCCAACAAGAGAGAACAUUACCCAUAGAAUCGUCCCUAAUAUAAACCGUCCUUAUAUCCAAUCCAAGUGAUCAUUUAAAUCCAUUAGAAAAUGACGGUGAAGCCAUUUCUUCUACCUCUUCAGCCUUGACUUGCUCAGCAUUCUCUCUUAACUUUUUGUAUAUGUUACCUUUGUAGAAUGGCUUGGCUCUCUCCACCAAAAUAAAUGAAACGAGAGCCGAAAAGAAUGUGACUGCAGCCAAAAUAAUGAAAGCCAUCUUAAAACAAUGAGUUCCAAUGCAGGUGAGGUCCUUCCCUUGGGUCCUAGUCUGGCCCAAUUUUGCAAGGUCCUUCCUCUUUGUCAUAGAGCAUUCCAUUGACCUUCACAGUGAGCAAAUAAGAGCCAAGAGGACUUGCCAAUUGGCCAAAGUUGAAAAGGGUAGAAUAGUAUUUCAAGCCAAAGAUUUCAGAAAUGAUAGAGUAAACCAAUGGCAACUGAGCCCCUAAUGUGAACCCAGUGAUCACUGAAGCAAUGUACAAAGCACCAGGGAAUGAGAAAGCAAUGAGAAGGUAGCCUGUGGUGGCUAUGACAAGGACAAUUGUGACCAUAAGGGGUCUUGGAAUUUGGUCUCUCAUGAGUAGGAUUUCUGAGAUAAACACAGAAAAGACUCUACCAAAAAAGUUCCAUAUGCUGAUGAGUGACAUGCAAGUGUGAAUGGUUUCAGGUUUGGAGCUCCCUUAAUUUAUUUCCCUUCUCUCUUGAGAACUUAUUUCUCAGUUAUUGUUGGAAGUUUGAAUGAAAUUCAAUGACUUUUGUCCCACAUUGCUAUAAAGAAGAAAACAUGAGAUCUUUAUAAGUGUGGUAGUCCUAAACAAGAAAAUUGGAAGUUGGGCCAAGUGGAAGCCAAUUGGGCUUCAAAUUCAACUUGGGCAUUGAAUAUAUGAUUUAAAUUAAUUAAUUAGUUUCGAAUUAUUAUUAUAAUUUCUUUUUAAAAAAAAAAUUAAAAUUCGGAUUAGUUUAAUUAAUUUCUUUGAAGAAUAGUAUAGCCGCACGGCUAUACAAUUGAAUAUAAUAUAUUUCAAGCGUAUAGCCGGUCGGCUAUACUGUAUAUAUAUUUUUUUUUGGGUCCUUUUUUGUUUUUCCGAAACAGUACUCUUGCUGAUUUUCUUUUAAUAAAUAGUACAGCCGCACGGCUAUACUGGGUUUUUGGAAAAUUUCUUUGAAGGAUAGUAUAGCCGCACGGCUAUACUAAUAAAAUACAUAGGGUGCUUGGAAGUUGGGCCAGACUAGGUAAUUGGAAGUUGGCCCACACAAGGCAAUUGGAAGUUGGGCCAAGUGGAAGCCAAUUGGGCUUCAAAUUCAACUUGGGCAUUGAAUAUAUAAUAUUUAAUUAUCAAAAAGAUGGCCUUAGGCCUUGGGGCACUUGGGCAUUUAUGAUUUAAAUUAAUUAAUUAGUUUCGAAUUAUUAUUAUAAUUUCUUUUUAAAAAAAAAAUUAAAAUUCGGAUUAGUUUAAUUAAUUUCUUUGAAGAAUAGUAUAGCCGCACGGCUAUACAAUUGAAUAUAAUAUAUUUCAAGCGUAUAGCCGGUCGGCUAUACUGUAUAUAUAUUUUUUUUUGGGUCCUUUUUUGUUUUUCCGAAACAGUACUCUUGCUGAUUUUCUUUUAAUAAAUAGUACAGCCGCACGGCUAUACUGGGUUUUUGGAAAAUUUCUUUGAAGGAUAGUAUAGCCGCACGGCUAUACUAAUAAAAUACAUAGGGUGCUUGGAAGUUGGGCCAGACUAGGUAAUUGGAAGUUGGCCCACACAAGGCAAUUGGAAGUUGGGCCAAGUGGAAGCCAAUUGGGCUUCAAAUUCAACUUGGGCAUUGAAUAUAUAAUAUUUAAUUAUCAAAAAGAUGGCCUUAGGCCUUGGGGCACUUGGGCAUUUAUGAUUUAAAUUAAUUAAUUAGUUUCGAAUUAUUAUUAUAAUUUCUUUUUUAAAAAAAAUUUAAAAUUCGGAUUAGUUUAAUUAAAUUCACUGGGGGGCCUAUUUUGUCUUCAUUUUUAAUUUUAAUAAUAAAUAGUAUAACACAUUGCCGUUUAAUAGUCGUGUUAUACACAUACAUACGUAUUUUUCCACAAUACUUCCAUUUUUCGUACACAAGGAAAACGUACAAUACACGCACGUGCGGAUUUUUCAUGUUUAAUACAUGUGUUUUUACAAAAUUGUCAACAAUACACACAAAAUUCACGUAUUAUACACACAAUUUUACAUACUAUUGAAUAAAAAUAAUAUAUAUCGAAAAAUUAUAUAGUGGCCGAACUUUAUGAUCAUUCAUAUGCUUGGUAGUAAGGUAAGUUAGCCCAAGGAAAAAGAAGAAAUCGAUUCAUACCCACUCUUGUAGGGGUUUUUAAAAUCUCUUCUUUUAACAAAUAGUAUAGCCGCAUGGCUAUACUAUUAUUGAACAUAAUAUACUGUACUUUUUUGACCCCUUUUUUUUUUUUGUUUUUUUUCCACCCCCGGAACAGUACCCCUGCUAAUUUUCUCUUAAUAAAUAGUAUAGCCGGGCGGCUACACUGGGUUUUUUGAAAAUUUCUUUGCAGAAUAGUAUAGCCGCACGGCUAUACAAUUGAAUAUAAUAUAUUUCAAGCCUAUAGCCGGUCGGCUAUACUGUAUUUUUUUUUUUGGGUCCUUUUUUGUUUUUCCGAAACAGUACUCUUGCCGAUUUUCUUUUAAUAAAUAGUACAGCCGCACGGCUAUACUGGGUUUUUGGAAAAUUUCUUUGAAGGAUAGUAUAGCCGCACGGCUAUACUAAUAAAAUACAUUGGGUGCUUGGAAGUUGGGCCAGACUAGGUAAUUGGAAGUUGGCCCACACAAGGCAAUUGGAAGUUGGGCCAAGUGGAAGCCAAUUGGGCUUCAAAUUCAACUUGGGCAUUGAAUAUAUAAUGUUUAAUUAUCAAAAAGAUGGCCUUAGGCCUUGGUGCACUUGGGCAUUUAUGAUUUAAAUUAAUUAAUUAGUUUCGAAUUAUUAUUAUAAUUUCUUUUUUAAAAAAAAUUUAAAAUUCGGAUUAGUUUAAUUAAUUUCACUGGGGGGCCUAUUUUGUCUUCAUUUUUAAUUUUAAUAAUAAAUAGUAUAACACAUUGCCGUUUAAUAGUCGUGUUAUACACAUACAUACGUAUUUUUCCACAAUACUUCCAUUUUUCGUACACAAGGAAAACGUACAAUACACGCACGUGCGGAUUUUUCAUGUUUAAUACACGUGUUUUUACAAAAUUGUCAACAAUACACACAAAAUUCACGUAUUAUACACACAAUUUUACAUACUGUUGAAUAAAAAUAAUAUAUAUCGAAAAAUUAUAGGGAUCUUCACUAAUAUACCCAAAAUAGGAGCUGAAAUUAUAAAAAAAACCCCACAUGGAAAACACUUCAUAAACACACCCAAAAUCCAUUUAUUAAAUAACAAAUUAGUGUUGAAGUUCCAAUAAAUUACAGCACUGCCACUAUCAAGCCCAACAGAAAAAAACUCAAAAAACACCCAAAACAAACCCAGCCCAAAUUUAUAAACAAGCCCAAACAUUGUACCUGGUAUUCCAUAACUUUCGGCCCAAAAAAAAAAAGUAAACCGUAAAAGUAAACAAACAGUAACUUAACUGCCAGCACGCGCGCCUUCAUUUAAGCCAUCUCUGCAAAACGUCUCUUCACUCUUCGUCUUCAUCAAAUCGUCUGCAAAACCGAGACUCCAUAAUCACCACGAAGCUUCAUCUACUUUCAAAACGAACACCAGACACUGACCUCCACCUUCAGAACCAAGACAAAAUUUCAGAGAACGAUUUCGACAAGAAAACGCUUCAAAGGUAAGACAUUUACUGUAAUAUUGAUUAUUUGCUAUAAAGAUCCAGUCUAGGGUAAUAACAGUAUUUUAAAUUCGAAUGAAGGACAAAAUCUUGAAACUAUAUAGGAUUCACUACUGGAAUAAAUGCAUAGGACCAUUAUUCUAGUCACUAAUCUCGGAUCGAUAACCCUGAUUGUACACUAUGAAAUCCUAUUUCUAACGCAUGUCUGCCACUGUAAAUAAAGUUCCAGUAUAGGGUAAUAACGCUACUCGUUUCCUACGAAAUCCCCUUUGAAAUGCUUGCCUAACACUGUAAAUUUCCAGUAUAUGGUAAUAAUACUGAUUGUACACUGAAAUCCUAUUUCUAACGCAUGUCUGCCACUGUAAAUAAAGUUCCAAUAUAGGGUAAUAACACUACUAGUUCUCUUUGAAAUCCUAUUUCUUGUGCUUUUCUACCACUGUCAAGUUCCAGUAUAUGGUAAUAAUACUGAUUGUUCCCUAGGAAAUCCUAUUUCUAACGCAUGUCUGCCACUGUAAAUAAAGUUCCAAUAUAGGGUAAUAACACUACUAGUUCUCUUUGAAAUCCUAUUUCUUGUGCUUUUCUACCACUGUCAAGUUCCAGUAUAUGGUAAUAAUACUGAUUGUUCCCUAGGAAAUCCUAUUUCUAACGCAUGUCUGCCACUGUAAAUAAAGUUCCAAUAUAGGGUAAUAACACUACUAGUUCUCUUUGAAAUCCUAUUUCUUGUGCUUUUCUACCACUGUCAAGUUCCAGUAUAUGGUAAUAAUACUGAUUGUUCCCUAGGAAAUCCUAUUUCUAACGCAUGUCUGCCACUGUAAAUAAAGUUCCAAUAUAGGGUAAUAACACUACUAGUUCUCUUUGAAAUCCUAUUUCUUGUGCAUUUCUACCACUGUCAAGUUCCAGUAUAUGGUAAUAAUACUGAUUGUUCCCUACAAAAUCCUAUUUCUAACGCAUGUCUGCCACUGCAAAGUUCCAAUAUAGGGUAAUAACACUACUAGUUCUCUUUGAAAUCCUAUUUCUUGUGCAUUUCUACCACUGUCAAGUUCCAGUAUAGGGUAUUAACAUCGAUACUUUACUGUCAUGUUCCUAUUUCUAAUGCAGGUAUACAAAUUAAAAGAUGAAGAAAAUACAAACCAGAAGAACCUCCAAACCAAAAGGACAACAGUCAUCAGCCAUAACAAAAACAAACAAGAAGCCAAGCAGAUGGGAGGACCCAAAUUAUGUCCAGAUCAAGAGCAACAUGCUCUCUUUUGCAACAACAAUUGACAACAUCAGACAAAGACUUGAACAACGGCACGAUGUCUUAACACUGCUAUCAAAGACACCUUUUUGGACAUUGAUAGAAGCAUAUAUCCAGAGAAGGUUAACGAAGGUAGAGUGCAUGAAGUCUAACUAUGACAUUGUGAGACUCAUACAAGUUUAUGACACGAAGACAAAGAAGUUCAGGUUUGAUGAUGGUGACAAUGAGAUCAAAAGCCAAUAUGUGUCUGAAAUUUUUGGCUUGCCAAACAGAGGCAAGAAGCUACCAAGCACAACAACCUCAACAAGGCCAAAUCUCCAUUUUGUAAAGAAGUACUUCUCGGGUUAUAAGAAGAUAACAAAGACUUCAAUUGAUAAGUGCUUGAACUUAGCACUUGAAGAUGAAACAGAAGAGGGGGCUAUGGAUACAACAAGAUUGAUAAUCCUACAACUCUUCAUGACCAAUCUCUUCUGCAACUCUGGUUGUACACUUGCUUGGACAUAUACAACCACAAUAGACACCUUAGAAGAGAUGGGGAAAUAUAAUUGGGCUCGAGGAGUUUUGGACUACAUGUAUUUUGGAUUAGAACAAGCAAAGAAGAACAAGAAAGACAAAAAGAAGCAGCCAAGCGUGAGUGGCUGCCUAAUCCUAAUACCGGUAAGAACACCAAUCUCCAAACUGCAAAUUCGUAGCAUUACUUUAAAUGAUAUGAAUUGACACAUGAUAUUGCAAUAAAAUAUUGUGCAGUAUUGGCUGUGUCAAAGAUCUAACCUGCUCACUCCAAUUCCUGGAAGAGAACAAAUGACACCAGCAGCUGUCAUAUGGAGUCUUCAAGAACUCAGCGCGAAGCUUCAUCAUCUAGAGAACAACCAGAUAAAGGUACUGUUAAUACCAUGUCAUAGACAUACAUUCUUAAUACCAUGUCAUAGACAUCCUAUUUCUUGUGCUUUUCUACCACUGUCAAGUUCCAGUAUAUGGUAAUAAUACUGAUUGUUCCCUAGGAAAUCCUAUUUCUAACGCAUGUCUGCCACUGCAAAGUUCCAAUAUAGGGUAAUAACACUACUAGUUCUCUUUGAAAUCCUAUUUCUUGUGCUUUUCUACCACUGUCAAGUUCCAGUCAUAGAAGUAAACUAUGAAUACCAUGUCACUCUUAAUGCUAACUCUACUCAACAAACAGAUAAAAAGCACUAAAGCUCAAGAGCCGGAUGAUGAUUCUGAAGAAGAGAAUGAAGAGGAGGAUGCUGCUGCUGAAGAAGUUAAUGAGGAGCAUGAUGAUGCUGCUGAAGAGGUGAAUGAAGAGCAUGGUGAUGCUGAUGAAGAAGAAAAUGAAGAGGAGGAUGCUGAAAUGAAUGAAGAGCAUGAUGAUGCUGCUGAACAUCAAGUCCAGCAACACCACCAGCUACAAGAAGACCACCAGCAACACCACCAGCAAUACCGGAAUUCAACGUUAUUUGAGGAAAAUGUUGGAUCUGUCCUGGGAUACAAGGAGGAUGAAAUACAACUUACAAAAGAGUACAUGAUUGCGAUCAACAAUGCUGCUGAAUAUUGGACAAAGAAAGGAGAGCAUCAAAAGAUCCAUGAUGCAAUAGCAUCCUGCAUAAAAAAGAAUAAAUUGAUUCAGAUGCUGUACAAUGAAAAAGAAGAAUUAAGGAAGCAUCAGCAGCAACUGCAGAAGAUGGUUAAGGAAGCAGCAUAUCACAAGAAUGCCAUACAACUUGAUAUGUAUGAGGAAAAAUCCUACAUGACAAAGCUGCAGCUAGAAAAUGAUCAACUUCUUGCGGAGAAGAUUUUCUACUUGGAAAUUAUUAAUGGAAAGGAAGCUGUUAUUGCCCUAUUGAGGGAUCAAAAAUUAGCGCAAGAACUGCAGAGUGAAGAAGAUAAAGUAGAAGAGAAAGAAGGUGAAGCAGAAAAGAUAAAAUCAAGAAAACCAGAUUCCUCAUUCCCUGAAGCAGAGACAAGAGCACAAAAGAGAAAGCCUGCAAAAAAAACCUCAAGAACCAGCCAAAUCAAAGAAGAGGGCCAAAGGUUCAUUCCUGCAAUGGAAUACAUAUCAGGUCUACAACAUGCUGGAUGAACUCUCACAAGAAAAGCUGAGAAAUUACUGGAAAAGUUCAAUUGAUAGGUAAGGCAAUGUGUUUCAUUCAUUUUCAAUGCAAGAUGCUAUUAUUGAACAUGCAUUAGAAAAUAGGAUUUCAUUGUGUUAUUACCCUAUACUGGAACUUUACAGGGGGUAGACAUGCAUUAGUUAUAGGAUUUCAGAGUAAUAUGGCAGUGUUAUUACCCUAUACUGGAACUUUACAGGGGGUAGACAUGCAUUAGUUAUAGGAUUUCAGAGUAAUAUGGCAGUGUUAUUACCCUAAACUGGAACUUUACAGUGGUUAGACAUGCAUUAGUUAUAGGAUUUCAGAGUAAAUUAGCAGUGUUAUUACCCUAUACUGGAACUUUACAGUGGUUAGACAUGCAUUAGUUAUAGGAUUUCAUAGGAUAUACAAUGGUAGGCAUGCAUUAGAUAUAGGAUUUCAUAGGAUACAAGCAGUGUUAUUACCCUAUACUGGAACUUUACAUGGUAGGCAUGCAUUAGGAAAAGGUUUUUUUAAGGAAACAAGCAGUAUUAUUACGCUAUACUGGAACUCUAUUGAACAGUUCUUUCAAUUUAUUGACAUUUUUUCUAACUACAAAUACUGUUACAGCACUGCUUUUUGGCAAGGGACAAGCAUUUUGUUCAAAGAUGACAUACAAAGCUUAUUAAGAGAUACUGAAAUUUAUGGACAAAUCAUAGAUGCGUAUGCCGAGAUACUUCAUGAUGAUGAAAAGAAGGAUCCUGCAAGACAACAGAAUGCAUACAUCACGUGCUACGCAUACGUAAAGAUCAUACCUAUCCCGUUACUUCUAGUAAAAAUCACAAAUUAUUCAUCUUCCUAUAUUUUUCACAUUCUCUCUAAUGCCGAAACUAUUAAUCUUGCAGAGGUAUCUCACAGGUAAAAUGCACCCAAGAGCAUUCGAUGAAUAUUUUGUCAAACUCCUUGAAUGCAUAGGGAAGACUUCAAAGGUGUUCAUACCAAUAACGGAUGGCGGACACCACACCCUGCUUGUCUUUGACACCAAUUCAUCGCAAUGGACGCACUACAACUCAUUGUGGGGGGAAACUGAGCAAACCGUUGAAUACUACAACAAAAAAGCAAUAAUUUUGGUAAGACAGACUCCUAAUAUGAACUGUUAAUACAAUGCAUGAACAAAACAUUUAAUCAGUGAAGCUAACAACAUACUUGCCUAAAAUGCAGGCAGACGCAUCAAAUGUCUUCCUCAAUAGUGUCAAGGAAUGUGCUCCAUCAAUUUUAGAAAAAAACAGCUUCACACUUCUUGAGUUCAAGAAGCCCGUCUACAAUGAAGAAUUCACCGACGAGAUUGCAAAACUUCUUCCGAACCUGAAAGUUACACCAGCAAUUGCUCAAACAAUACAAUAUCUGAUGAAACAUGAUCCCACAAAAUUCAACUUUAAGGAGGACAGGGAAUGCGCCCAACAACCCCAAAAGUCGUAAGUGUCACAAUAACACUUUUCUUCCCCCAAUUCAAAUUAAACUAUGAUUCACUAAAUGUUACAUAUACAUAUGUCUGAAUUUGCAGAAACGAUUGUGGAGUAUUUGUCAUGUACUACAUCCAGCAGUUGUCACAAGGAAAACAAAUUGAAGAAAGCUUGAGUACAGCGCAUGUGUGGGAAAUGAGAAAAGAAGUUUUAUUGAAGACAAUGGAAAGUGAAAAAAGUUGGUAUUUCACAAAAGGGAAUGAAGGAUGAAAGCAUGGAUUUCACAAAUUUUAGAACUAUAAAAUAGAAAAUGUCCGGCUUCUAACUUCCAAAUGUCAAAGUGUUAAUAUGUAGCUUCUAAACAAAAUCUUUUGCUGCUUCUUAACUUUCAAAUGUCUAAUAGUUACUGUGUAGUGAGAUUCAAAUGUAAAAAAUUGUUACUGUGUAGCUUCUUCUAAAUUUCAAACUGCGCAUUAACAAUGUUCAAAAUGCGUAUUAACAGUGACUUUCAAAAAGCCCAGCCCAACUUCAGAAAAUCAAGUUCAGAAACGAAAUAAAGCCCAAAACAAAUCAAGCAAAUAAACUAAAUAAACUAAAAAGUCUCAUAAAAAAAGAAGCCCAGAAAACUCAACAAGCCAAUAAAGCCCAAUUUAACUAAGCCCAUUGAAAGACAAAAAAAAUCUAAGCCCAGAUAAACAACAGUACACGCAGGCACCCAAAAGCCGAAAACCCACUCACCUCUAACCCCGAUCUCUGCGACACCAACUCCAAAAGCAGGCGAAAACCUCCAUAACCACCAGACAGGAGACAAACUCCAUUACGAGAAAGCCGGCGAAUCGAAGUUACAUUCUGCCAUAGCCACAAGUCUUCAAAAUCGACACUACAAAACCCAGGAAAAAAGCAACUGAGCACAAGGACAACCCAGCGAAAAAGGAAGAAAAUUUCAACCAUAAACAUCGACAUAAGGUACAAUCCCAAAAACCCAAACUCACUUUCUACUUUCAUCUUAAGAUUCUGCUAACUAAUGCAAGAGUACGACGUUUAAUACAGGUAACCAACGAAAGGGCCAACAAUGACAGAAACAAACACUCAAGAUGCAAAAAACACAGAAGACCAUCCCAAAUCAAACGAAGAAGCUUCAGAAAUGGCUGAAAAAGCAUCACAAUCAAACUCCCAGGUAUUACAAAAUCUCUUAACUUCAAAGUCCGAUAGAAAUGUUCUGAAAAAACGCAUGUUUUGACUGCGAUGUAUAUGUUUCACAACUGUUAAUAUUAUGUCAUAGAACUUGAACUGUUAAUACUAUGUCACAACUGUUAAUACUAGUGCACUGAGUGCACUUGAAGACCAACAUAUGUAACAUCCUUUCUUCUAGUGCAGUGCUUUGUUAAUCAAAAUCUGUGGUUGCUAUGCAUCUCUCUCUUCUAGUGCACUGCUUGCAGUGCACUAGAAGACCAAAAUAUAUAGCAUGCUAUGUGUCUUGCUCUUCUAGUGCACUGAGUGCACUUGAAGACCAACAUAUGUAGCAUCCUUUCUUCUAGUGCAGUGCUUUGUUAAUCAAAAUCUGUGGCUGCUAUGCAUCUCUCUCUUCUAGUGCACUGCUUGCAGUGCACUAGAAGACCAAAAUAUAUAGCAUGCUAUGUGUCUUGCUCUUCUAGUGCACUGAGUGCACUUGAAGACCAACAUAUGUAGCAUCCUUUGUUAAUCAAAACCUGGGACUUCUAUGCAUUUUGCUCUUCUAGUGCAACAUGCACUAGAAAUGCAUAUGAGGUUCAAAUGCAUAGAAGUAAAUGGUUAAUACCAUGUCAUAGAAGUAUUAAUACUUAUGUUUCAUCUUUCUUUUGUUAAGUUAAAAUUACAUAUUUGUUUCACUUUGCAGGUGAUCAUAUGAAAAAAGGUAACCGGGUUGAAAUUCAAAAAAAGAGCAUACAAAAGUAUCCCAAGCCAGAAAAAGCGCAAAAAAAAAUCAACAAACACACAAGGCACACCACUAACAACAGCAAAAGCCAAACCAAGCAGACGCAAUAACCCAAAUUAUGUGCAGAUCAAGAGCAACAUGCUCACAUUUGACAACACAUUGCAAACGGUAAAAGACAAGCUUGCAGCAAGAAAGGAUGUCCUCAAGAUCCUACAAAAAACGCCAUUCUGGAGCAUCAUCAAGGCUUACAUGGAAGGUCAGCUCACCAAGGUAGAAUGCCAGAAGUCUAAUUAUCAAAUAAUUAGACUAAUCAGGUUCUACAACCCCGAAACCAAAAAAUUCAAAUUCAGUGAAGGCAACGAGUAUGAAAUUACAAGCAAUGAUGUGUCUGAAAUCUUUGGAUUGCCUAACAAAGGAAACAAGUUGCCAAGCACAACAACUUCCACAAGAACAAAUUUGGGCUUUGAAAAGAAGUACUUCAAGAAUUCAAAAAAAAUCACAAAAACUGAGGUUGAUAGGUGCCUGAACACAGCAAUAGCAGAUGACAGAAAGAACAAUGCAAUGGAUGUUGUGAGGUUGUUAAUCCUAGAGCUCCUCAUCACAAAUCUCUUUUGCAACUCGGGGGCGACAAUGGCUUGGACCUUUUUGACUAUGAUUGACACCUUAGAAGCAAUGAACAGCUACAACUGGGCACAAGGAGUCUUAGAUUACAUGCAUUUUGGACUGGACCAAGCCAUGAAAAAUAAAAAGCACAAGACAAAUCAACCAAGUGUCAGUGGUUGCCUUGUGCUAAUCCUGGUAAGAAACUACAUCCAUUUGUUAAUCCUAUUAUAUUAUUUGUUUUCACGUGCAUUAACACUUUAUAUUGAAAAACAUGUUUGCAGUAUUGGCUGUGUGAAAGAACUAACCUGAUCAGUCCAAUUCCUGGAAGAGAAGAUCAUAAACCAGCGGCUGUCAAAUGGAGCCUUCCGGAGCUCAAUAUCAAGCUGAAUAUUGCAAAAUAUGAAAACAUUAAGGCAUUUUUCUUACUUCCGUAAACAUAUAUAAUGUUAGUACACCAUAAUUACUACUGACUCCAAUAAUUCAACAGAUAAAAGCUGCAGACAAUGAAAAAGAAGAAGAAGCAACGACUGAUCACGCAGACCAUGAAGAACAAGAAGAAAAUGAAGAGGAUGAUGACUUUGUUAUCACACUUAAAGAUUGGGUAAGAUAACCUACAAUGACCCAACAUUUAUAUUUCAAAACUGAAUUGAUGGUGGACACACACAUAUACAUGUAUAUAAAUUUGCUAAUGAUCUUUUUUUCCUUUCUAAUAUUUGUGACAGUUAAAGAGUCAAACACAAAAAGGAAAAAAGCAGACUAUUAUUACCCAGAAACAGAACUUCAACUUCCAUGAAAAUGUGGACCAAAGUGCAACCCAGACAAACACUCCACAACAGGAGCAAAAUGAAGACAAUACAGAGUCAUUGGGAUGCAAAGCAGAUGAUGAAAUUGAAGAACCACCAGCACAAGCACCGGGAUGCGAAGCAGAUGAUGAAAUUGAAGAACAAGCAGUUGACCUUAGCAGAGACUCAAUGACGGAGGGGGACACUGUUAAUGUCCAGCAACAGCAUCCAGACCUUGACAGCCAGGAAGAAGACUUCAACACCAUUUUUGAGGACAUAGUGGGUUCAAUCCCAGAGUACUACAAGCAUGAAAUAGUCCCUACCCAUGAGAAAAUCCAACAGCUGAAAGAAGCAGUCGACUAUUGGAUUGAAAAGGCAGAUACUCGAAGGGAUAUGAUGCAGAGUGCUAUAGAAUCCUGCAUAAAGAAAAAUUCAUUCAUUCAACAAAUAUGGACAGAAAAAGAAGAGUUGGAGAAAGAAAUUGAAAUACUGAAAAAGCAGCUUGAGAAAGAGAAAAAAGAAGGUGCAAAAUUACAAGGGGAACUUCAUGCACUCAAAACAAACAAGAGACAGCUACAGGAACAACAUAAACUACUUGAAGGGGAAAAGUUGUCCUGCAUUGAGAGCAUGAAAGAAAAAGACACUGUUAUUGCCUCUUUGAAACAUGUGAUGGGAACAAAUUUCACACAAGGUGAACAAGGAGAAAUUACAAUGAAAGAACAAGCUGAUAAGGAGAAAAAAGAUGAGAGAAUAGCAGAAGAAAGUGAAUUGGAGGUGCAAGAAACUCCUAAUGAUGAAGAUGAGAAUGCUGAUGAAAAAACUCCUGAAAAGUCAGUUCUCCUGCAAGCGAAAGAAGUAGGAACCAGGCAGUUACGUUCUGGCAUCAAAAUCAUCAAAGACAGAAAAGACAGAAAGCCUGCAAAGAAACCAGAUUACACAUACCCCGAAGCACAUAAGAAAGCCUGAAAAAGAGAAAGCCAAAGCGAAGAUGAAGCACCCAACAAAAAAAAGAAGGAAAAAGAUACAUACCUUCAGUUGCGCAUGUAUGAGGUCUACAACAGGCUGGAUGAAAAAUCAAAGAAGAAUUUGGAAAAUUACUGGAUAUCUGCAUCUGAUUCCGAUGAGUAAGCCAAUCUGUAGUAGAAUUACACUGUUAAUACUAUGUCGUAGAACUGUCAUAGAAUUACACUGUUAAUACUAUGCCGUAGAACUGUCUUGCUAUUAAACUGUUAUGACAUUAUUAUUUGCUGAAUUAUUAUUUAAACAACAUUAUUGUUCAGGGGCGCUUUUUACCUACACAAUAGGACAGUAUUGUACAAACAUAACAUUGAAAAGCUGAUGGGAGAUGAUCCAAUUUCUGCACUAAUCAUCGAUGCUUAUGGAGAGGCACUUAAUGAUGAUGCGAAGCAGAACCCUCAGAAACAAAAAAAUGCAUAUUUGUCCGCCAAUAACUAUGUAAGAUCACAUAUAAUACAUCAAUAUUAUAUCAUCAACAUUGUUACUAAUCACCAACACAUGACUUAUGCAGAUGUUUUUGCGAGGUGCUUCACACAAGCUGACAUAUCAUGCUUUCUAUAUGCCACUCCUAGAAAAUAUUGGAAGCGUUGAUAGAGUGUUCAUACCAAUUACAGAUGAGAACCACCAUACGCUGCUUGUCUUUGACACCGGUGCAGCAAAAUGGACACACUUCAACUCAUUCAGGGGGACAUCAAAACAAACUCUCGAAUAUUAUCACAAGAAGGCAAUUGUUUUGGUAAGUAAAACUGGUGAUUAACACUGUUAAUACAUAGGACACUAAAUUUAAAGGAAACUACGCACAUACUUGACUAUGACUAUGAUGCAGGUUGAGACAGCGAAUAUGUUCCUCUGUCUUCUUAAGGAAUGUGCUGCAGCAUCACUGAAAACAAAACUCGUCCAAAUUCCUGAUUUUGAUGCCAAGAAGCCGAGAGGGCUUAAUGAAGCUUCAGCUAGAAUGAUAGCAAAAAUGCUUGCCAGCAACAAACUUACACCGGAAUAUGCUCAGACAUUGAAGUAUCUGAUUCGUCAUGAUACUACUAACUUCAAGCUGACUGAGAACAGAGAAUGUCCCCAACAAGCAAACAAUUCGUAAGUUAUGCAAUAACAGUGAAACUUUAAUCCUAUUCAACUGAAAAAAAUACUGAACUAACUCCUGCAUGCGUAUCUCUAUUAUGCAGCAAUGAUUGUGGCGUCUUUGUCAUGCACUUCAUGAAGCAGCUUUCCAAAGACCAACAAAUAGAAUCAGAUUUCAACAAAGAAAAGGUCUGGGAAAUGAGAAAAGAAGUUCUCAUGAAAAUUAUGAGCAAUGAAAGAAGUUGGAUUUCCAUCAAAGAAAGAGGAGAGAAAUGCAAAGGAACGAAGUUGUAAUCAAAUAUUUUGCAAAAAUUCUUGCUUAUAUUGUAGUUUCUUAGGACUUGUGUAGGUUUAGAACAUUGAAGUAAAGUGAUUUUCAAAUUCAAGUUAUGUACUUAUUCAAAAAUCAGUUUAUUUACGUGAAUUAACAGUGUAUGUAACCUGAAAUAAUGGUCUCCAUAACACUAAAACAACUAAAAAGGUGAACUCCAACAAAUAACAACGCACUCUCAAUACAAUGUUAAUCCUAUUUGAUAGAAAUAAAUUGUUAAUACCAUGUCAUAGAACUAUCUUUUAAUUUCAACAAUGACAUAAACAGUGGGUAUUAAAACAGUGUUCCUUCAUUUAUAGAUUAUUCAAACAGCAGUAAUGCUUAAUUCAUAUCAAACUUCAAAACCAAAAUUUCCAAAAUACCAAAAAUGGUACAUAUUAUGUAUUAAUACCGAAAAUUCAAACAGUAUUCAUAUGCAGUGACUGCUAUUUCACCGUAUUAACAACUUGCAUAUCAAUUUCUAUUCCUUUCAACUAUGAUUGUCACUAAUCAAUCACAUAGCACUUUAACUAGUUAAAGACUAAUACUCUCAUUCAAGUCUUUAUACUCCAAAACCUUUACAUCAAAUAGGAGCCUUGCAAGUCCUCCUAUUAUGACGAUCACAAGAACCGCAUCUCUUGCACUUCAACUGCCUUGUAGUUUCACUGCUUAACUUGAAGCGAUUUGUCGGAGGUCGUCCCGGAGGCUUUCUUGUAUGCGGAGGUAGAAGAAAAACAUCUCCAGCAGGAGGCUUCUCAAUAUCAGGUAUAGGAAAUAUAGGGGUUGCAUAAGUAGCCCUAUAAAAGUCUGCCUUGUAAUACUCAUCAACAAAGUUAUACAAACAUAACCCGGAAUGUUGGAUAACUUGAAUCGCAUGCUGACACGGAAACCCAAGCAAUUGCCACUGAUAACAGGAGCAAAACCUCUCGUCCAAAUUGACCAUAACACUCAAAUCAGCAUGAACUUCAAAUAUAGAUUCACUCGCGCGACAUAUCCUCCAAUGACGACCCUUUGCAGCUAAAUUCUUCAACUCAUCCUCAAUAACCGGACACAAAACACUACACCAUUUCUCGGAUGCAAGCUUCCUCCUAGAAAUCAUCUCCAUCAUUUUGACCCUAAUAGUGUCAAUCAUCUCAUAAAUUGGAAGCCUACGCACAUCCUUAACCCAUGAAUUAAACGACUCGGACAAGGCAUUACUAACCUCCCCAUACCUCUUUCCCGGAAAAAAUGCAUUAGCAAAAUUUUGGACAGGGAGAUCAGCCAAAAACUUAUCAAUUAUUUUUGAACCGCCAUCAUCUCUUAAUUUUUUCAAAAUAUCUUGAUAUUCCUCAACAGUCGGUGCAUACAACAACUUACAAAAAAGCCAUAAAAUAUGAUCCUUGAAAGAGGAACCAACAGAAUGCGGAUACUUCUUUUUCAAGUUCUCUUUCAAAUGAUAUAGACAAAAACCAUGGGCAGAAGCAGGAAAAACAGUCCUAACAGCAUCGAUAAUAGCACCAUGCCUAUCAGAAAUGAAUGUAAGUUGCCUACCUUCAUCCACCAAAACUUCAGAUAUCCUUGGCAGAAACCACCUCCGAUUGUCAGCAGUUUCACCGGAUACAAUAGCAAAGCAAAAGGGANNNNNNNNNNNNNNNNNNNNNNNNNNNNNNNNNNNNNNNNNNNNNNNNNNNNNNNNNNNNNNNNNNNNNNNNNNNNNNNNNNNNNNNNNNNNNNNNNNNNAAACAGAGAAAUAUAUUAGUUAGUUUGAACAUUGCAAGAGCUAACAGUGUUACCACAUGAAGCAGAGUAAAACUACAAUGCAUAAAAAUACUCAGAUGCAGGGUAUGAACAGUAUAGAAACUGUUCAUACCACUCAAUGGAAGUCAACAAACAGUAUAACAAUUGUUCAUACCACUAACUGGAAGUCAACAACUACAGCAUUUACAUUUGCAUACCUAUACUGUUCAUACUACUCAAUGGAAGUCAACAACUAAAUCAUUUACAUUACAUACCUUUAUUCCCAUUCUUUGCAGUAGCUCCUAGAAGAGUACCCUUGUACUUGUUUGUAACGAAAGUACCAUCAAUAAACAGCAUAGGCCUACACCAUCGAAAACCAUCAAUGGAGGCCUUAUAACAUAUAAAGAUCCGCUGGAAACGAGAACCAUCCUCGCCACAGUCAAGCACACAAUGAGACCCGACAUUGCUGGCCUUCAAAACAUCAACAUACCAAGGCAGGUGAGCAUAAGACAACUCCUCAUCACCAUGUAAAUCCUUAGUAGCUGACUCCUUCCCAUACCACGCAACAUGAUAAGGGACAUCCAAUCCAUAAUUUUCUUUCAAAUCAGUAAUUAGCUCAAUAGGCCUUACCAAAGGAUUGCUACGAACUUUAUCUUUGACAAUUGAAGACACCAAACGAGACCCCAUUGCCUUAUUUCUCUUCUCACGGAUCAAACCACUACAACUGUGUACAUUAUUUAAAUUCUUAAUGUAGAAAAAUCCAUUUACAUUGGACUUAACAGCAUGCACAUUCCACUCACAGCCAUUUGAUUCCUUCUUAGCACACACAGCAGUAACACGACGAGGCUCAUUCUUCAAAUACUUCAUCUUAAAACCAUUCUCAAUCGCGUACUUAGCCAACUUAUCACGGAAUUCACAAACUCCAGCCUCAAACUUCUGACCCUCAUGAGUAAUAUAACCCUCCCAAUCAGUAGACAAAUAUUUACGCCCUCCACAACUACCAUAUUUGCCUAAAUAUUCAUUUCCAAACUCACUGCUAAUACCAUAAAAAUCCAUACUCAAACAAGAAGAAGAAGCAGCACUUGAAUCAACAAUACUACCAGUUUGACUUGAAUCUUUACAUGUAUCCUCAUAUUGUGCAAAACUGUAAUUGUUAGGAGCAGACUCCAACAAAAAAGGAGAAGCAAUCAUGUUCGUAUUAACAGUUUGAACAUGAUUCACUACAGCCUUAUCCCUAACAGCAAUGUGAAUUAAUUGAUCCUUCAUCAGUCCACAUACCAUAAACAUGAUUUUCAAAUCAUCGUCCGAUUCCAACAAACAAUUGGAGCAAUCCAUAAAAGAGUACCUCAACUCAAAAUGACCUAACUUAAGCUUAAACCUACUACACAACUCGUUGGACAACCAAUCAAAAGUAGUAGUUGAAGACAAAAUAAGCAUUAAAGUUCCAGCACCAUAGGUGCACUUCGCCACUCUCGAAUCAUCCAUAUAUAUCUCUACAAAAAAACAACAAACAAAACAAAAAUGACUACUAGUAAUAACAGUGGAUGCCGAGUGCAUUAACAAUGAAUUAUAGUCGACUCAAAAACCAAUAGCGCAUAAACAGAAAAAACACGAAUAUACUCAGAUUCAACUGAAAAAGCAUACCUCAAUUAAAUCGAAUAACACAAAUUUUUCACCACAGCUCAAACCAAAACACAAGAGCAAAUCCACAAUCAAAACGAAUCUGAAAUCAAUCCAAAUUAUAAACAAAAAGAAACGAAAACCUAAUCAGCAACUUAAUUAAUCGAGCAUCAAAUCACCAAAAAGCAGACUACAAUAUAAUCGAAUACCUCCAAAAUCGAAUAUGAAUUCACAAGAAAAAAUCGAAUACCUCAAAAAUCGAAGAUCACAGAUCUCACCAAGCUCCAAUCGAGUCUCAUGCAGCGCAUAUCAAUCCAAAAAUCACCAAAUCAAACAAGAAAGAAAAAGAAAUUGAAGCAAUAGAACUCCAAUCUACGCCAUACUAAGCUCAGAAGAAUCGAAAAAGAAGAUCUGGAACCACAUCAUACUGAGCUUCGUUCGAAGAGGUGAACGAAACUCGUUUCGUUCAAAGAGAUGAACGAAGCUUCCUUCGUUCGAAGAAGUGAACGAAGCUCGCUUGGAAUAUUCGAUCUGCUGAGGCUGCCAAACAGGUUUCUGUUACGAGGUCACCAACGUAAAUUUCAAGAAAUUCCUAUCCUAGGCUGGCGAGUUUUGGGCAUGUUUCAAAAUAUUCGAACCAAGAAGGUCAAAAACGUAAUCUAACAUAGAAAAUAAAAUACAAGAAUAGACAGCUUUCUACAUUGGGUGUGUUUUGGGGUGUGUUUAUAUGUGAUUAAGAUCAUGUAAGGGAUAUUUAUAGUUUCAUGUCUACAUUGGGUGAUUCACUAAUUUUGUANNNNNNNNNNNNNNNNNNNNNNNNNNNNNNNNNNNNNNNNNNNNNNNNNNNNNNNNNNNNNNNNNNNNNNNNNNNNNNNNNNNNNNNNNNNNNNNNNNNNGAAAAAAAAAAAAAUCUUUUUUCCCCCCCUUUUGGGGGGGUUUUAAAAAUUUCUUUUUUUAAAAAAAGUAAACCCCCCCGGGCUUUUUUUUUUUGAACCAAAAUUUUUUGUUUUUUUUUGCCCCCUUUUUUUUUUUUUUCCCCCCCCCCCCCCCCCCCCCCCCCGCGGAACAGUACCCCUGCUAAUUUUCUCUUAAUAAAUAGUAUAGCCGGGCGGCUACACUGGGUUUUUUGAAAAUUUCUUUGCAGAAUAGUAUAGCCGCACGGCUAUACAAUUGAAUAUAAUAUAUUUCAAGCAUAUAGCCGGUCGGCUAUACUGUAUUUUUUUUUUUUGGGUCCUUUUUUGUUUUUCCGAAACAGUACUCUUGCUGAUUUUCUUUUAAUAAAUAGUACAGCCGCACGGCUAUACUGGGGUUUUCGAAAAUUUCUUUGAAGGAUAGUAUAGCCGCACGGCGAUACUAAUAAAAUACAUAGGGUGCUUGGAAGUUGGGCCAGACUAGGUAAUUGGAAGUUGGCCCACACAAGGCAAUUGGAAGUUGGGCCAAGUGGAAGCCAAUUGGGCUUCAAAUUCAACUUGGGCAUUGAAUAUAUAAUAUUUAAUUAUCAAAAAGAUGGCCUUAGGCCUUGGGGUACUUGGGCAUUUAUGAUUUAAAUUAAUUAAUUAGUUUCGAAUUAUUAUUAUAAUUUCUUUUUUAAAAAAAAUUUAAAAUUCGGAUUAGUUUAAUUAAUUUCACUGGGGGGCCUAUUUUGUCUUCAUUUUUAAUUUUAAUAAUAAAUAGUAUAACACAUUGCCGUUUAAUAGUCGUGUUAUACACAUACAUACGUAUUUUUCCACAAUACUUCCAUUUUUCGUACACAAGGAAAACGUACAAUACACGCACGUGCGGAUUUUUCAUGUUUAAUACACGUGUUUUUACAAAAUUGUCAACAAUACACACAAAAUUCACGUAUUAUACACACAAUUUUACAUACUAUUGAAUAAAAAUAAUAUAUAUCGAAAAAUUAUAUAGUGGCCGAACUUUAUGAUCAUUCAUAUGCUUGGUAGUAAGGUAAGUUAGCCCAAGGAAAAAGAAGAAAUCGAUUCAUACCCACUCUUGUAGGGGUUUUUAAAAUCUCUUCUUUUAACAAAUAGUAUAGCCGCACGGCUAUACUAUUAUUGACCCUUUUUUUUCCCGGAACAGUACCCCUGCUAAUUUUCUUUUAAUAAAUCGUAUAGCCGGCCGGCUAUACUGGGUUUUUUGAAAAUUUCUUUGAAGAAUCGUAUAGCCGCACGGCUAUACAAUUGAAUAUAAUAUAUUUCAAGCGUAUAGCCGGUCGGCUAUACUGUAUUUUUUUCUUUUUUGUCCUUUUUUGUUUUUCCGAAACAGUACUCUUGCUGAUUUUCUUUUAAUAAAUAGUACAGCCGCACGGCGAUACUGGGUUUCUCGAAAAUUUCUUUGAAGGAUAGUAUAGCCGCACGGCUAUACGUUUAAAAUACAUAGGGUGCUUGGAAGUUGGGCCGGUCUAGGUAAUUGGAAGUUGGGCCAAGUGGAAACCAAUUGGGCUUCAAAUUCAACUUGGGCAUUGAAUAUAUAAUAUUUAGUUAUCAAAAAUAUGGCCUUGGACUUUGGGGCACUUGGACAUUUAUGAUUUAAAUUAAUUAAUUAGUUUCGAAUUAAUUUUUUAAAUAAAAUUUUCUUUUUUUUAUUUAUAAUGAAUUCAGAUUAGUUUAAUUAAUUUCACCGGGAGGCCUAUUUUGUUUUCAUUUUUAAUUUUAAUAAUAUAUAGUAUAACAUAUUGCUGUUUAAUAAUUGUGUUUAUAUAUAUAUAUAUAUUUAUAAUACGGGUAGUUACUAUUUUCAGCCAUUUUACAAAACGGACAAGGCCAAAUUUUCUGAUCAACCAAACACAAGAUGCUAAAAGGCAAAAAUUUGCUACUGAACAGAGCAAGGGUGCCUUGAAAGCCCUCAUUGACAAGAUUUGGAGAACUGGUUUGCAAUUUGGGUUCCAAUGAAAUUUACGGAACUUAUCAUCCAUAACUAAAUACAGGCUUUGAAUAGCAUAUAUCUAUUAAACCCAAAAACCACAAGAUUCAGUAUUAUUACAAAGAAAGUAGAGACAUUUUUCCAGCAUUCAAAGAAAUUAGAGAUAUUUGAACUCAAAUAUCAAUGUCAUGAAUUAACCCUGGUCUUGAACAAGCACAAUUCAGCUUAGGCAUUAGGCGCCUAUUAUUAUGAUCCUCAACUGUUAAUCAACCGGACUACAGUACCUUUAGCAUCAUUCUGGCUAUUAACAAACUCUUUAUCAAAUUUCUAGAGUUCAAAAUGUAAUUAUUGCUGGUUUUCAAACAAAACAACAAAACCAAUUUGCCGUAUCAAGAAUAAUAAAAGCAUAUCAGCAGCAUCAACCCUUCAAGAAAGAAAGAACCAAACCAACGUGCCAUGCAUCCACCAUUCACAUAAAAUUAAAGGAAUCCAGAACAAAAUUAUGCUUGUAUUGCAAACCAAAGUAGCUAAAAUUGUCAUGAAACUAAGUUGACAAACUAAGCUACAAAUAUAAAUCCAGUGCCAGUGAUUGAAAAUCUUUAACAGGGUAAAGAGGAAACACAAUUUGAAAUUCUCUCGCUCAUUAUACUCAUUUUCC
rnacentral:lncRNA from 1 species